rnacentral:lncRNA from 1 species
GUGAAUCUAACCAACCAAUCAUCAUCUUUACAUGGACCGAACACAUACAUUAUUCCGCCACCCAAAAGAAUGAAUAAAUAUUGAAUCACAAACCCUACACAAUUAAACUACACAAGAGAAAAAGAAUCCCCCGCUAAUCCUACCGAUCACAUGCAUCCUCUGUCAUCCCCUCACACUCAAUAUAUGUAUACAAUAAUAAUAAUAAUAAUAAUACGAAGAACCAUAUAUAUAUAUAUAUAUAUACACACGUACGUAGUGGUUGUAAUUAAAUUAAGCCAUCAUUCACUGUAUAAUAGAAGAGCGGGUAAACCCAGGAAUGAUAUGAUAUUAUGUUUAAACGAAUAAUUACGCGUCGGCCUGGCGCUUGGCCCCGGGCCGGCGCUUGUUGGAGCGGCGGCGGCGCAUGGCGACGAACUUGGACUCGCCCCAGUCCCAGAAUCUCUCCUGCUCCGGCGGGGAGUUUUUGCACUCCGGGAACGUGGCAGCGUAGCGGACGGCGUCAUAGCAGACGGUGUAGGUCAUGUAGCGCUCCCUGAACCGGCGCAUGGCGGCGCGCUUCUGCGGCGUGACGACGGCGUAGUCGGCGGUCAUGAGCUCGAGCUCGGCGUCGGCACAGUGCUCCGCAGCGGCGGAGGAGGGAUCGAGCUGGAUGGCGGAGUCGGCGCGGCAGCCGCGCAGGACGAGGUCGGAGAAUUCGGCGACGAAGGGGGCGUACUUGUAGCUGACCUUGUACUUGCCCCCGUCGGUGGCCCAUGUGGAGCCGUCCCAGAUGGUGGCGUACACCGACAUCGGCUUCGACGGGUAGUCGCCGCCCAUCGCCUCGCUCCGGACGACUUCUCUUAUCGGCACGUCGUCCACGUAGAAUCUACAUGAUAGUACAAUCGAAACGGAGCUUAAUUAAAUUAAAUUAAAUUAAAUUAAAUUAAAUUGUGGUCCACUAUUAGUAAUAAUAUAUAUAUAACUGAACAUUCACAAUUCACAAAAUUUCAGAACAAUCCGCUGUUUCGCAUUGGUUGGGAUUCGAAUAAUCUCGUACCAUAUAUGCAUCAACCAGAAAAAUACCAAAACAAAAAAGGUUAUAAUUUCUAGCGCAGAAAUUUAGAAUUCACUAUCUAUUAAUUACCUCUCUAUCUAAACCAGGCAUGUUAAUUAGGUUUGGCUGCAACUUUCGCACAAUAUAUAGGAACACCCACCCAAAUUGCUGCAGCCUAAUUAAACAGAGGCUCAAACACUUAUUUUGGCUUAUGUCAAAACAGGCGUCUUUAUAUUUCUCCAAAACAAAAAAAAAGAAAAAGAAAAAGGAAAAAGAAAAUGUACGCCCAAAAGUCAUGCAUAAAUCUUGUUAAUUGUAUCCUUCCGUCCAAAAAUACAAAUAUUUUUUUUAAUAAUUUAUGAUAAAAUUAAUAAGGCUAGUGUAAAAAAUGUAAUGUCCGGAUGAAAGGUAUAUAAGAUAUACAUCCAAAUAGUAUUGCUCUAUCUCAAAUUCUUUAAAUUCUGCCUACAAUUCUUGUUCUGUGGCGGCUUAAAUUUUCUGUGAGCAGCAAACGAAGAUAGAAAUAUAGCAAGAAAAUAAAUAAAUAAAUAAAUAUGUAUAGUAGUAAAUUACAUGAUGUAGUUAGGGGUCCAGAGGAUGGAGUAGCGGUGAGCCUCCUCGGUGGGGUCGAAGNUUAGAAUUCACUAUCUAUUAAUUACCUCUCUAUCUAAACCAGGCAUGUUAAUUAGGUUUGGCUGCAACUUUCGCACAAUCUAUAGGAACACCCACCCAAAUUGCUGCAGUCUAAUUAAACAGAGGCUCGGAUGAAAGGUAUAUAAGAUAUACAUCCAAAUAGUAUUGCUCUAUCUCAAAUUCUUUAAAUUCUGCCUAUGAUUCUUCCCUAAGGGUACGUUUGGUUCGAAUUAUCCUGACAGGAUUACAGGCAAUCCUGCCAGGAUAACUGUGUUUGGUUAAUCCGCUAUGUAAUCUAGUCGUUAAUGUAGCAUUACAAAUCGAGCAGGAUUACAUCGAAAAUAUUAACGGGAGGGAGGUCGUGUAUCUUGCAUUACUGAAACCCGUUAAUACUAUAUAUUAUUUAAAAUGACAAUUUUACCCUCCAACAACCCCAAAUCUAAUUAACAAUAUUAUUUUCAUCUCUCUCUCGCCUUCCCCCUCUCUUUCGCACGCCGCUUUCUCUCCCUCUCGAUGUCUCUCUAUCUCUCUCUCUUUCUCUCUCUCGCACGAACACCUAUCAUUUUCUAUUGCGUCGUCCUCCCAGGUAAUCAUCACGAUCUCUUUCCCUCCAUUCGUCAUUUUCGCAAAAAAUAAUAUUCAAAUGACCACAACAAGGGCAAUUUUGGAAAAACUAUACUUUUAUGUCAGGAUUACUAAAUUUUAUAAACUGAACCAAAAGUAUUAAUGCUAUAAACACUGUAAUCUAGUAUUACAUUACUGCAUUAAACCAAACGCGCUAAUGCAGCAUCAGUAGUAAUCUCACGCCGAAAUCCAAAAUAUCUAGAUAUGUUGAGAUACUUUGUAAUAUUACAUAACUCGAACCAAACGGGCCCUAAAAGGAUAUUAUUUUAAUUUCGAAAGUUAUAAACUGUUAUUAUCCAAAAUGGAGUUACGCCAAAAGUACACAGAGAUGUAUCAUAACUAUUUUAUUACAAUACGCCGAAAAUAAUAUUUUGUUUAAAAAUAGGCAUGGUAUUUUUCAUCAUACUUUUCCACUGCACGUAAAUAGAGCUUUAAUUAUACAAAAGUAAAUAACAAUAAUAAAAUAAUCCAUCGGAGGGANCCAUAUCCGAAUCCAUAUCCGUCGGGUUUCUAUUUUUGAUAUCCAUAUCCGAAUCCAUAUCCAUAUCCACCGGAUAUAUCCGUUUCAUUCGGGUUCGGAUUCGGAUAAAAUUUCGGGUAUUCAUACCCAUUGACAUCCCUAGGCAUGAGAGGUCUGGAUCAGUACUCAAGUGUAAAGAAAGUGUUGUUGGGCAUAAAGAACACUACAAUUCUUGUUCUCUGGCGGCUUAAAUUUUCUGUGAGCAGCAAACAAAGAUAGAAAUAUAACAAGAAAAUAAAUAAAUAAAUAUGUAUAGUAGUAAAUUACAUGAUGUAGUUAGGGGUCCAGAGGAUGGAGUAGCGGUGAGCCUCCUCGGUGGGGUCGAAGGGGAGGAGGUAGCGCUCCUCGCGGCCGCGGCUGGUGCUUCCGUUGCCGUAAACGUUGGUCUGCACCCUCCACUCCUUCCCCCGGGUGUUCCCCAGGAACUCGAAAUCCAGCUCAUCGUGGUUCUUCUCGAACACGUCCCCGUUCGAUAACUGCAACAUCAUCAUUCAUUCAUUUAUUAAUUAAUUAAUUGAUUAAGUUAGUAACUGAACCCCCAGAACGUUAAUUUAAUCUCCCUUAACCCACAUAAGCAAUUCAUUGAUUGAUUAAUACUCGUACGAUUAUUUUAUUUAUUUUUAAAUAAUAUUAUUUAGUUUACAUGUUAAUAAAUUAAAAAUUAAUUACGCGGAACUAACAUGGCAGCGAAUAUUCUACGCCGCAGCCAUUGGCACUACCACACACCCAUGUGCCCAUUACUAGUAGUUGUAUUCUCGCGGCUUAUAAGAAAAAAAAGAAAAAAAAAAAGAAGACGAAGAAGAAGAAGAAGAAGAAGAAGAAGAUGAUAACGCGGCUCAUGAAACGGACCAUCCUGGCUUCUACUUGAUUAACGCAUGAAUCUUAUUACGCGGACUACGCGUAAUAACUCAGUUAAUUAAAAACUGCAACAGUUACGUAUGGAAACAUUUUGGGAGUGAGAAAAACAGGGCAAACUAGUCAAUUUCUCCAUUCAUUUAUUUGUUUAAAUUUUUUUUUAAAAAAAAAAGAGAGGAGAAACUACUACUCUAGUUUGUGAGAGCUCACGUAGAAGGCGACGACGACGCCGGCGGUGUAACCGGCGGGGAGCUUGAUGGAGGCGCUGAAGAAUCCGUGGAGGUACGAAUCCGACGAUAUGAAUCCCGACCCUAAACCCAAAUUAUUAAACCCAAAAAAGCAAAUUAGAACGCGAACGGCGCACGAUAGAUGAGAGAGGAAGGAGAAGGAGGGGAGGGCGCAGGUUUAUAGAACAACACCUGAGUAGCGGUUGAGCAUGAUGCGGACGCUCCGGCCGUCGGGGGACCGGACGAGAUUGCCCUCGCCGAAGAGCUGUGAGUAUCCCUCGUCGAACGGGAUCGCCGGGACGUCGAAGGCCGCGGCGGCGACGGCGACGAGCAGCGCCGUUAGCACGAAGACGACGGAAUCCACCAUGGCCGUUUCCUUCGCUCCGCUUCUCUGCUUCCUCGAUCUCUCUAGGGUUUCUAGAUGAUGAUGAUGAUGAUGAUGAAUUGAUGAUGACUCCUCUCUUUCCCUCUCUCUCUCUCUCCCUCUCUAUAUAUACUCUGUUGUGUUUCUAGACGACUCUUUGCGUUUGCUUUAUAAAUAAGAAAGGAGGGGAGCGGACGCGGAGAGGGAGAGGAGGUUACGAAAGGGUUUUUUUUUUUUUUUUUUUUUUCUUUUCUUUAAAGGCAUUUUUUUUUAGGUUUUUUAAAAACUUAUUUUUCAUAAUAAUGCGAGAAUGAAAUAGAUGGAGUGGGCGGUUUGGGUGGCUGAUCUGGCGGCUAACGUUAUCAAAAGGAGGAAUUCUACACUGUCACACUUGCAUCACAUCAUCAAUAACAAGCCAAUCACAUUCCUUCUUUUUAAAUAAAAGUACAAUAAAAAUACUUUUUUAUAAUCAUGAUGGGACAUAUAUUCUUAAAAGGAUUAAUUUGAUUGGUUUGUUACGCCACGUCACUAAUAUACCCGUUGCAUUCUAGAAUUUUUCUAUCAAAAGGGUGGAAGUGAAAUGGCGGCCUACUGGUUUUGGAUAUUUAUGACUCGCCACUUUCGAUCUUUAUUUUUAAGGGAGAAAAAAAAAAGUAUUUAUAUUCAUUAAUUAGUUUAUUAGAUUCAAGCAAUCAAUCUACUUGCCUCAAAUUUUUCUAAAUAAAUUUUGUAAUUCACUAGAUUUAAAAUCUCUAUUCUUACUUCAACUAAAUUAUAGCAACACUGCUUGUCUCCAACGUAAGUGUCAAAAAAUUUAAUGAUUGAUAUCUGAGAUCGUAAAUUCGAAACCUAAUUAUUUAAAAAAAAUUUAAAUCGUAACAGCAAUCAUGCAUUGAGAAGGUGAAUAAAUUAUUUUAAAAAAUAUUCAGUUCAAAUGAAAAAAUAAAAGAAAAUCGUGUAUUUUUAAUAAAAAAGUUUAUAUAAUAAUAAAUAAGUGAGCCAAAAUUUGAAAAGGAUGUGAAGUGUUUCAGUUUUAUUUUAUUAUUAUUUAUUUUUUAGCUGUGAAAAUGAAAGGGGCACUGGAGAUCCAGUGCGCGUUACGUCGAAUGCCGUGGCGAUGUCGCGGUGGAGAAAUGGAGAAAGUGAUGUGAAGCUGCACUAGCGGUGCGGCGAGUCCAAUUUUUUUGACUCACCUUUUCUUUGUCCCGAAAUUACCCUUUGGAGAAGCAUCGUGGGGGCGGCGACUUCAGCAUGGUUUUCGUUGUAAUUUUGCGGAAGGUGCAGGGGCAGAUUCGUCAUUUGGAUGGUUAAAGCGAGUGGCCAAUUAAGUCGUUUCCGCCACAAAGUAUGACCGCGUCCGACAACGACGGCGGUGGACGAAUGCCACGUUAUUAGUGUUGGUCUUCUUUUUAUUUGCUAGACUAGAAGACUAGACUAGUAUAUUAAUAAUUGGUGCAAACGCCUACUCCACUUUAUCUUUUUUUUCUUUUUCAAAUAGAUUCAAAAUUUUUUAAUUUUAACAAUCCAAUUAAAUGCUCUAAAUUUUAAAACAAAAUUAUACAUAAUUUAUCUAAAUUAUAAAUUAUUUUGAAUUAAGCAUAUAUCCGAUCUUUUAAAAUUUUAAUUUUACUAGCUAAUCUUGUAAUUUAUUUUAUUUAAGUCAGACAACGACACUUUCAUUUUUAAAUUUAAAUUAAUUAUUUAUUUAAUAAAUUUAUAGUUGUAAGUAUCGUAUGAAAUAUGCAAACUAUAUAAAUAUGUAAAGACAAAAGACACGUUCAAAUUUUGAAAUAAAAGUGUCGUAGAUUGACUCUAAACCAAAUAAUAUUGAGUAGCUGGAUAGUAAAAUCAAAAUUUUGAAAGACUGAAUAGUUUAUAGUUUAAAUAAGUUUUGUACGUUUUUACUAAAUUUUACUAAAUAUCUCUCUUCAAAUGAAGUUACUUAUUAAUGUAUAUUCGUUUUAUGCAAAUGAAGUUACUUAAUGUACGUAUACUCGUUUUAUUUGCAUGUCUAAUGAAUAAUUUUAUAAAAUUUUAAAAUGCAAGAUUUUUUUUAAAAAAAUCUUAAUAAUUAAGUAGGAAUAAGCAACUUAAUUUUAUAAGGUUAUCUUAAUUUGCAAAAUCAUUAAGUCCAUAUAUUUCCAUUUGAUUAAUUGUCAUAAACUUCUAGCUAGGUACAUCAUUCUUUGAAUAUUUUUCAAGAGUGAUUGAGAUAGUAAACCAAACCUCCAACAGGUGUCAUUGUCACUAUUAUUGUAACAACUGCUACGUUUAUCUUUUUUUCCAGUUGUUGCUAUCAAUCAAAUGGCCUUAAGCAUAAUCUUUAGCGAGUGCUGUACGAAUCAACCUUUUUUUAAAAAAAAUUUUCUUUUGAGGGUACAAAUGUACAAAGGAGCAUAAUCUUUUGGCAAAUUAUAGCUUAACUUGAUUCAUAUAUAUAAUGACAUUUUAUGCUAAUAAUUCUUGCGUAUGAUUAGUUGGAAUAGAAACUAAGUCGGCAGGUAUAUGUUUGCAGUGAAAAAAUAAAGUUGGUGGGUCAAAUACAAUUUGGACAAGAACUUCUUUUGUUUGGAAGGAUUGAUCCUCUACUGUUUGAUCGAUUCCAAUUAAUCAUAAGUUGUGAAAUGGACUAAAAUUCAUUAAUUGUAGGGUCACGGGGCAUCCAAAAGCAUUGUUGUUGAACACAUGAAUCACGGCCGCACGCUACUUCUCACGCGUAAUUUGUAUCACCGAAAAGGAAAAAUUAAUAAAAAGAAUAGAGGACAGAAAAAGACUAUUCGUCAAAGUUGGGACAUUUGAUCACUUCCUUUCUUCGUCUAAAAUGAGGUCGAAUUUUUGUGCGCUGNGAUAAUUUUAGCUAAAAUUUCCGUGUGGCGUGUUGUGAAAGCGGAAACAAGGGGCGGACAAAAAGCAUCCAAUCCAGUAAACAGGAGUGGGUCCCACGAAGAAUUUUUGCCAACAGUGAUAAAUGCGGUGGAAUACAUGCGUGUUUGUAUAUAUAUAUAUAUAUAUAUAUAUAUAUAUAUAUAUAUAUAUAUAUGGUCUCUAAUUAAAUGUUUCUAUUUAAUUUUUAAACGCUGCAUGUGAGGGACAACCAUGAAAUUCAGUAAUUCUUUUACUUAAUUUAAUUCAUAUUAAUUAAUCGUGGCUUAAUUACGAGGCAACCCAAUGCAUUUUAUGUGGCAGGACUAAUUAAUCCUAGGCUUUUUUCAAUUAAACCUAUAUAUUCAUUCAGUAACAUAAUAUUAGAGUCGGUCUUAUACUCUCUCUAACAUCCAUACUGUUAAUUAGAUCCAUUCGGUCUUAAUCCAAUGCAUUUUAUUUUUUUACUUUUAUAUAUUUAUGUAUUUAUAUUUUUUUCAUGUAACUUUUGAUUCAUUCGAGGUCCCGCUACCUCAACAUUUAUAUUAAAAUUUAUUUUUCAAAUAAAUGAAACAAGUAGUGUGCUAUCUUUAUCUUAAAAAAAAAAUUCAUACUGUGCAUGUGAGUAGAAACAUAAUUUUAUAUAUACUAGUCAGUGCACGUGCGUUGCACGUAUAGAUUUUUCUAAUAUAAUUAAAUAAAUUAAUAAAUUAGUGAAUAAAUAAUAUUAUAUUUNUUUGUACUUCGUACUUCAAGUGCCCUAUUUAUUUAAAGAAAAAAAAUCCAGCCAUAAACAAAUUAAAUAUCUUACAUUUUUUUUUCUCUCUCUUACUUCUUUUUCAUUCAUUAUUUUUGAGAAAUCGGGUGAGAUUGAUCCAAAGCAUAUAAUAAACUGGGGUUAAUUUCAGAUAGGUUCAUGUAAAUAUAAUGAAUAAUAAAUAUAUCUCUAAAAAGUUUAAUUUUUAUAUAUUAUCAAUACAAAAAUUCUAAUAUUUUUAAAUAUAUCUUUCCGAUUUGCUAUCGUUAGAAAAUCAUUAAAAAACUGUUUAUAUUUUCAAUUUUACCAUCACAAAUUAUCUCUGCAAAAAUUAUAAUAGUAUAAUAUAAUAGGGGUAAAAAUGUCAAAAACUUACUCAAAGUCGGUGUUCGUACUGAUCUGAGAUUGGGGAGUUCGAGAAUUUUUUUUUGCUGAAGGUCUGGGAGUUGAAAAUACCAUCGAUCCGAAGUUAAAAUUUUUAUUUAGUUAGCACUUAAGAAAUGCCUACCUAUAAUUGACAGCUUACUCAAAGAGUCUGAUUCGAAAAUCAACAGUGCGUGAUGUGCGGCAACAAUUUAGAGACUGUUGAUAAUCUGCCAGUCAGAUGCGUAUCAACAUAUUUCUAGGACCUAGGAUGGAAAUCAAAAGUGUUUUGGGAGCUUCUGACCGGGGACCGUAGCCAAGAGGCAGCAGCAAGGGAUUUAAUUAGGGUCGCAAUCUGUUUGUGAAUGAUUUGACGGAUAAAAAUAAUAUUAUUUUUAGGGGCCAAUAAUUUGAUCAUUUUUGAGUAUUAGACGAAUAUAGGACGUGAGUAGGCCGAAUAGACCGAGUUUUACAACUUUUAGUAUAUUGGUUUUAAGUGAGGAGUAGAAGUAUGAAUUUUUUAUGAAUAUUUAUUUUAGUUUUUAUUUGUCUUUUUCUUUUUUGGUUGCUUUAAAUGUUUUUCGAGGCCGCAUUGCCUCAACCUGCUAAAUAAAUAAAGCGGGUAGCGUACUAUCUUUCUCUAAAAAAAAAAAAAAAAAAUUAACUAAAGUUAAGUAUUUAAUUUAUAGUUAACUAAAUUUUUCUAACCGAUUCUAACGACAUGAACAUGUUUGAAGACAUUUGGACUUUUGUAGGGACAAUAUAUGAAAGUUAAAUUUUGUAAGAAUAUAUUUAUCAUUUAUCAUAUAUCAUAUUUGUAGAGACCUGUAUAAAAUUAACCCAUAAAACUAAUAAACACAAUUUAUGAAUAUGUAUAUAUUUGGUUAAUUAGCAAGGUAUAUGAUAAUAAUUUUUCUACGCUGAUUUUAUAAAAGUAAAUUUUUAUGGACCCUUGUGAUUAAGUCAUAUGUAGUUGCCGACACAAUCUUUAUCAAUAAUAAUUAAGGAUUAGGGAUGAUAAUAAUUAUUAAUGAAGUUAGAAGAGUCGUAGCUUACGCGACCGCUUUGUUAUAUUUAUUUAUACUAGUCAGUGCACGUGCGUUGCACGUAUAGAUUUUUCUAAUAUAAUUAAAUAAAUUAAUAAAUUAGUUAAUAAAUAAUAUUAUAUUUAAAUAGUAAUGUCAGAUUUAAAAAUUAUAAAAUAUUACAAACUAUAAGCAAAAUACUGGAUAGAAAAUAUAGUAAAAUAAAAACGUAAAUUUGAACAUCCAUACAUGGAAAUAGUUUAGAUUAAAAUGAAGUAAUAAAAGAAGAUUUAAAUUCAUUCUAAUUUUAUUGUCUUAGUUGUCGUCAUCGAUGAUCUUUUUUUUUUUUGAAAGCGAGAAAACUUUGACUCGAUGAUAUUCAUCACUGAUGCUUCGUCAUCGUCUUCAAGAAUUUUUCGAUGAGUAUAAUUUAGAGGAAAAAAAUCUUACUUAUUGAUUCAAAUUUAUAUUUUUUAUUUUGCUAUAUUUUCUAUAUAUAAUACUUAUGUGUAUUUUGUUUAUAGUUUGUAAUAUUUUAUAUGGGUACCUCUCAAUUGAGUUAUGAAAUUUUGUUAGAAAAGAAAAAACAAUUAUUAGUUGAACAAAUAAAACUUUCGAUUGUAUUCCUAGAAAUAUCAACGGUCAGGAUGUAACCAUUUGUUGUUAUUACAAAAUAAAUGUCAAGUACUAAAGCAAAAGUUUUUUUAAAAUAACAAGAUAAAAGUGAUAAUUAAUUACGGCUAAAUUACAGAAAAAUUUUUGUCAAAAUUCGAUUUUUCACAUUCCCCCCGUCAUUUAAAAAUCUACACUUUGCUAUCUUGUAAAAUAAAAAAUGUUCACUUCACUCCCUGCCAUUAGUGAUCCGUUAGGAAUCCGUUUAUAAAAUAUUAUUAUAUAUUUUUUAUGCCAAAAAUGUCCUCAGCCUUCUCUCCUGUUGACAAAAAUGAUGAGAGGCAAAAUGGUCAUUUUGUUAUCACAGUUUAUACCGUACCCCCUAUGACUAUUUUUUAUUUUACAAGGGGGCAAAGUAUAAGUUUUUAAAUUACAGAGGAAAAAAAUAAAAAAUCAAAUUUUGACAAGAAAGUUUUAUGUAAUUUAGCCAUUAAUUAAUUAUUUUAUAUCAUAUUUUAGAGAAGAUAAUUAAUUUACAAAGUGAAAGCAAGUUAUUAUGCAACUAAUUCAUCAAAUCAUCGAAAAAUAUGAAAGUAAAUUAAAAAGAUUACUACAAGUACCAAUUUUAUCGUAUACAACUCACUCAAAUAUAAGUAAAUAAUCAAUUCAAAAAAAAUACAUAUGAACAAAAAAAUUUUAAAAAAAUAAUUUUAUAAAAUUAACUGUUCAGUAAGUGUAUGAAGACCAAUUAAAUAAAUAUCACCAAAUUGAUUAAAAUUCACAUAAUAUUCAGGAUAUUUUCUUCUAAUAGUUCUUUUCUCUUCAAAUUCAAGUUCUAAUUGAUGUCAUUGUCUAUGGCAACUUAUAUAGAAAAAAAUAGAGAAAUAAUAAAAAUAAAUAAUUUAUAAAUAUUUAAUAAUUAUUAAUUGCAUUUAUUUAAAGUGUAUACUUUUUUAUUCAACCUCUUUAUUUUUUUAAGAAACCUCUUUCUUUCUUGGACAAAAUAUAUCUCCUCAACCUCUUCGUUUCUUCGAAAAAUCUCUUCGUUUUUUAGAAAAGAUACCUUUUCGUCAAAACUUUUAACUCUUCAUUUCUUGGAGGAACUUUUUCGUAUCUUGGAGAAGAUACAUCUUGAUCCUUCACACCACAUUUAUCGGAUGCUAAGACGAUGAAGAAAUCAAAUAUUAAAUUUUUUAUUUCUUUAUUAAUUAAAAAAAUUCUAAUAUUUUUGUUUGUAGAAGAAAAUAUUUAAAUCUCCAUUUCUCCGAUGCUUUAAAGAUAAAAGGAUUGCACAUCAUUUUUUUCUUUCUCUACUAAUUGAAGAAACAAUAAACUAUUCAUUUCUAUGAGCACAUACAUUUUUUGGGCACCACCUUCCUUAAUGUACAGAAGAAUAAAGUUCGUUGAACCAUAUAUAUAAAGCACAAUCAUUCUAAUUUAUAAAUUUAAAAUUACAAUUUAAACCUCUAUAAUAUAUGCUAUUAGAAAAAACUAUUUACAAAAAUUAUAUUUUUUAAAAAAAUUAUUUUAAAAUUUAAAAUUAAAUAUAAACUAUUUACUAUUUUUUUUUAAUAUUGGCUUAUAGAGAAUAUCAUACACAAGAUGAAUACUCUUUUCAAUAAAUCAUUUGCUUCCUAUCAAUAAUAGAGGAUGGAAAAUGCCCACAACAUCAACCAUGAGCUAAUAAACUUUAUCUAUUAGAAUUUAAAUUUAAAUCCAAACAAUCAAAUAAAUUAUGUUUAUCUAUUUUGUGAUUUUGCAUUUUAAAUUUUACAUCACUGAUUUUUAAAGGUUAACUCUGGUACACUACAUUUUUUUUUUAGUUUCCUCAGCGAAAUUCGCACUGUAAUUUAUGAGUUUAUUCGAAUAAAAUCACAAUUUUAUUUUGUAUACAAGAGAAGAAAAAAUGUAUUUAAAUUUAAGUCCAAACAAUUCAAAAAAAUUAUAUUUAUCUAUUAUAUGAUUUCACAUAUUUAAACUUUGCUUUAUUAAUUUUCAGAAAUGAACUCUACUACACUAUAUUUUUUUUCUCCUUCAUGAUCAAAUUUGUCUUUUAAUUUAAAUUUUUUUUGGUAUAAAAGNUAUUUUGUAUACAAGAGAAGGAAAAAGGUAUUUAAAUUUAAGUCCAAACAAUUCAAAAAAAUUAUAUUUAUCUAUUAUAUGAUUUCACAUAUUUAAACUUUGCUUUAUUAAUUUUUAGAAAUGAACUCUACUACACUAUUUUUUUUUCUCCUUCGUGAUCAAACUUGUCUUUUAAUUUAAAUUUUUUUGGUAUAAAAGUAAAAUUAAAGGUUAUAGUUUUAACCUUAAGACACUAAUUGAAGUUUAGUGUUUUGUAAAAUUUUAUAAAUAUCUAAUUUAAUAUAAUUUUCUACAUUGUUGUUGACGCCGGAACUUAGAGGGGACGCAGAGAUAGGACCAAUAUAACACGAUAAAUACUCGACCCGCCGUAGAAUCCAUCAUGUCGAACUCGAGCACACUCAUCGCUAUGCGGAAUCCACCAACACAAUGGUUGAACAACACUCUUCUCUCACAGAAAAUCUACCUAAGAGAUAGGAGGAAGAAGAAAUCCUUAUUCUCAAAUGAAAGUAGAAACUUCAACUCAACUUAACUUGCUUUUCAUCAUAAAAUCAUUACAUAUUUAUAGCCUCUCAAAUGAUCCUUUAUCUUUUCUAUACAUUAAUGCACUCUUUAAUUUCAUAGAGAAACUAAAAGACACUUUUAGAAAUACUAAAAGACACACACAAUUCUAAACUAUCAUAACUCAUUUUAAGAAAACGAAAAGACAAUUAUAGAAAAAUGAAGGGACACGCUUAUUUCAAAACGAACAUUUAUUAAGUGAUUAAUGACUUCAUCCAUCAACUUGAGGAACGGUGUCAAUUGUGAUUUAUAAUUUAAUUAUACAACAUUGUAAUGAAUAUCUAGAUCGAUAGUAAUUAGAUGACUUUAUUUUUUUUAUUUUCGAAAUAAAUAUACUUUGUUUGGAAAAAGAAAACUCCAAAUAAUUCAACAAAUAAUAUUAUCUGUUUUAAGAUUUUGCAUAUUUAAACUUUGUUUUAAUAGUUUUAAGAAAUUAACUCUACUACACUAUAUUUUUUUCACCUUCAUCAUCAUAAUUCGUCAUUUAAUUUAAAACUUUCUUGGUACCAAAGUGUAAAUGAAGGUUAUAUAUAGUUAAGACACUAAUUGAAGUUCAGUUUUUUGUAAAAUUUUAAAUAUUUUUUAAAAUAAUAUAGAAAAUUUAAAUUAAAAAUAAGAAUUGCUCUAAUUUAAAAUAAUUUUCAACAUUAUAGUUAUUUAUAAGUUAAUUAUAUAACAUUAUAAUUAAUAUCUAGAUAAUAAUUAGUUGACUAUAAGUUUUUUAAUAGGGUGUGAAUAAAUGAAUUUUGUUAUGAAAAGAGAAAAAGUACUGCUUUUUCUUCAAAAAAUUUGAAAAAUUUUGUUAUACUGUAAAUUUUUUUUGAAAAGUUCUGAGGCCUAAUAAUUAAUUUUAAUUCUUGUUGAUAGUAGGGUGUUCAUCUAAUCAUAUUAAGCUUUAAAAUUUAUAUUAUUAUUUAUAAUUUAAUUAUAUAAAUUUAUUGUUAAUAUUCAACUAAUAAUAAAUUACUAAGAUAUUUAUUAUUAAUAUUCAACUAAUAUUAAAUUACCAAGAUACCCUUGGUAGGAGGGGGUGAGGAAAACCUACCAAAUAUAUUUGUUUAUAGUUAAUAUCAAGAUAUAUAUAUAUAUAUAUAUAUAUAUAUAUAUAGAGUCCGGCUACUAUGCUAUCGGUAGCACAGAGCGCUCCGUGCUACUAAGUUGUUUUCGAGGAUGCGGCUUCCAAAUCGACGAUCAGCUCCGUUAAAUUUGAUCUACACUAUUGAAAGUAUUUGGAAACUUGGUAGCACGGAGCGCUCCGUACUACCGAUAGUAUAACAGCCUAGUUCUAUAUAUAUAUAUAUAUAUAUAUACACACACACUACAGUUUUCAUGAAUGAGUACAUGAGCAAUAGCCACCAUUGAUAAGAAUAAUAAGAAGUGGUUGCCUAUGAGCAGGCUGUCCAAACUGCCUAUCUUUUAAAAGAGCCGACAUAACUGUGAUGCACGUUAGAAACAAAAACAGCAACACAAAUUGCAGUAAUUGCAUCACAUUAUAAACAAAAAAAUGCCAAAGCUCUCAAGUAUGCAAAGAGGGCCCAAAAGGUNNNNNNNNNNNNNNNNNNNNNNNNNNNNNNNNNNNNNNNNNNNNNNNNNNNNNNNNNNNNNNNNNNNNNNNNNNNNNNNNNNNNNNNNNNNNNNNNNNNNUGUGUGUGUGUGUGUGUGUGUGUGUGUGUGUGUGUGUGUGUUGCUUGAUUGCUAUUAAAGUUCUUUGGGAAGGCUUACUGUUCUAGUGUAGAAUCUACUCAAAUUGCUACAACUUGGAGCAAAAGCAUUCAUAGAUGCUAAUAGUUGGUGGGAAAAGAAGGGAACAAUGUGUUGUUUCCAACUUUGUCUGACGAAAAGAAAGAAUAUGGAGAGAUCAUUCACAAAUAAAGGUUAAGAAAAAAUGAUCUGAAGUAGAAUUGGAAGUUAUAUCUUUGAUUAGUAAAAAGAGAAAAAAAAAGAAAAAAAAAAGAAAAGAAAAAAGAGGAAACCAAAGAAAAUUGAAAGCAUGCGACUAAAGCUGUUAACCGCAAAAGAAAAGGAGUUAGGUAAUUAGCCUGAAUAAUAUAUCAAGCUGAACAACUGUACUGUGUAAUCUGAAUAAAUAAGAUAAUUAGCAAAGAAUUUUUCAAAAAGAAAAAGAUAAUAAGCAAAGAAAAUUGACUACUGAAACUAAUUAAACAGAUGUACUAUAGCAGUAAUAAACAGAAAGUGUGAACAAGUAUAUCAAGAAAAAAGUAAGUUCCUCAUUUAAGUUCCUUUGGUGUUAGCUUCCAUUAUUUGUUGUAUUCUUUCUAUGAAUUCUGUAAAUGUAAAAUUUAUCCAUUUCACAUCCUAAGUCUUACUGGCUAUGAGAUUGGAAUGCACUAGCAGAUGGACUUUUAUUGAUUAGCAUGCGAUGCAUCCCAGCUUGAUGCUAAGAAGCUUCGUCUUCAAAGAAAACGAAGAAGCAAAAAAAGGAAGCUACCACAAAAUUUUUAUUUUUCGUUGCUAAACAUGAACCUGCAGGAUUGUAGAUUGCAAAAAAUCUGCCGUAUGGUACCCUAUUCAAUUGCAUAGGCUUUUCAGUGUUAAAAAAACAAAAUGAGUGAAGGUGCAAAUAAUUUAGUUUUUUCUUUUUUCUUUUUUUUUUUUUUACCAUGUAGUCUCCGAAGCAUAUAUCAUGGGAUUUCUUCUGUAUAGGUGGUUCCGAAGGAAUUCCGUGAAUUACUUCCACCUAGCCCGGUAUGGCUCACCCUUUCUUGCAAGAACAAGACAUGGGAGGUGAGAUACUGCGGGGACCGUUACUUGAAGCGAUUCGAGACUGGAUGGAAGAGGUUUGCCAUUGAGAACAAUCUAGAGAUUGGAGAUGGGUGCGUGUUCGAGCUGAUGGACAAUGAGAACUUGAACUUUGGAGUUAGAGUUCUCAAAGGGGAAAUUCCAUCUCUGGUUAGGAACAUCGAAGAUGGUCGGAGCUCCGACAGCCCCAUCAUGAUCGACUGAGGUAAUCAACUUUAUUAUCUUGCUACUUUGUUUCAUGUAUUUAGGAUCUACUAAGACUUGAGUUUAGCUUUGGUGUGUAUUCCGUGUACGUGUGAAGUAUCUAUGUAAAUGACUUUUAAGUUGUUGUGGUAGUGUCAACGGUUCAAGAAAGAUAAGAUUUAUGUGGUGAAGAGGAAUGAAUUAAUCUGCAGGCUACCUUAUGUGCUGUGGUUUCAGCAUUCAAUGCGAAGUAACUAGUGUAGAAACUGUAAAUUAUUACCUCAGAACAAUAAUAUAUUUGGGCGUGAACGAGAGAGUGUACAAAUUAUUUGUUCCAAAUUGAAAGCAAAUUUCAGUUUGGUCAGGUAAUGAUAAUUACAUCAGACUUUCCCAUUGACAAUUUUAAAUGUAAGAAACAGGUUCGUUUGGCUUUAUCUAAUGCAACCAGUCCAUAUAACAGGCCAAACUGAUUCGCAAGAUUUUAAUAUUUAAAUUCAAUGAGAAGUUCGAAAAUAAAAUUAGUUGGCUUAACUGUUUAAUGUGGCAUUUAAUUUAUUACACCCAAAAUUAAAGUCAAAUUUGAAACUGGAAAAAAAACAACCAAUUUACAUACUGAUAUAUCGUGCCUGAGAAUUGCAUUUUACUUCUCCACCUUUUCAUUGCUACUAUUUUUAUGUGUAAGUGAAAUUGAUAUUUGCAUCUUUGUCCCAGAAGCUGUCGUCUAUAUUUGCACGUAUACCUUCUACUUGUGCCGUGCAUGAUGUGUGAGCAGUGAAACUCUUUGUUAAGUAAGGUUAAUCACAUGCAUUAAAUUACAAUCUGCGGGUACUGCCAUGUGCCCCGUAAAAUACGUUUUUUUUUCUAUGUAAUAUUAUGUUUGAUAUGUUAGAGGUAGAAGUUUUGCAAAUGCGAUAUCGAGUGCACCAAUUGUGAGUUACUUAAUUACCAGCAGUAACAAUACCUUUUGGGGUACGAUUUUGUGGCGUGAAUGGAGAGGGGUUAACAGGGUUCCUCCCCGCGUACGCAGCAACAGAGUUAACGACGCGAGUCGCUGCCAUCCAAGAUCUGCCGAUGACGUCAGCAACGGGAGCUNGUAACAAUACCUUUUGGGGUACGAUUUUGUGGCGUGAAUGGAGAGGGGUUAACAGGGUUCCUCCCCGCGUACGCAGCAACAGAGUUAACGACGCGAGUCGCUGCCAUCCAAGAUCUGCCGAUGACGUCAGCAACGGGAGCUGCGCAAUCGGAUCUCCCUCGCCCGUUUCGCCACCCGUCUCUCCCCGCAUCUCCCGCCCUCCCCCUGCAUACAUAUCCAUGCAUCCAUCCCCCUCAUGAUCCUCCUUUAAAAAUUGCUCAUCUUCUCUUCCCAAUUCCCAUGCAUGUCGAUAAUCACUGUUUCACAUUACAUAUACUAUACCCCGGCGGCCUGAACCUUUUAGUCAGAAUUUGAGAGAGGGAGGGGCGGGAGUGUGUGUCGGGGUGUGCCCAUGGUGAGCGAGCGAAGAAUGCACGUAAAGCAAGCGCUGCUUGAAAAGCUCUGCUUGCCCACGCCCUCCAUGGCCGCAGCCUACCCUUCCUCGCCCCAGCUGUUCAGCCUCUCCGACCUGGAGAAGCUCUCCGUCCUCGGCCACGGCAGCGGCGGCACCGUCUAUUUAGUCCGCCACCUCCCCACCUCCUCCCUCUUCGCCCUCAAAGUCCUCCACAGCAACAGCAACAGCAGUACCAAUCAUGAGGCCGACGUCCUCGCCCGCGUGGAGGACUGCCCCCACGUCGUCCGCUGCCACGGCGUGCUCGACGUCGCCGGCCUCUGCUGCCUCGUGCUGGAGUACAUGCCCGGCGGCUCCCUCCUCGACGUCCUUCGCGCCCGAGGAAGGCUCUCCGAAGAGCUCAUCGCGUGGGUGGCCAAGUGCGUGCUCCGGGCGCUCCUCCACCUCCACGCCGCCGGCGUCGUGCACGGCGACGUCAAGCCCUCCAACCUCCUCAUAAGCCGGCAGGGGGAGGUCAAGAUCGCCGACUUCGGGGCCAGCCGAUUGGCGACGUCGGAGGAGGCGGCGUGCGAGGAGGGCACGCGCGCGUACAUGAGCCCGGAGCGGCUCGACUCGGAGGGAUUCCAAGGGGAGGCCGGGGGAUUCGCCGGGGACGUGUGGGCCCUCGGGGUGGUGCUGCUGGAGUGCCUCGUGGGGCGGUUGCCCCUCGCGGGACCCGGGAUAACGUGGGCGGUGUGCCUGGGCGGGGGCCCGCAGCUGCAGGUCCCCGAGGGGGAGGCGUCGCCGGAGCUGAGGAGCUUCGUCGGCAGGUGCCUGGAGAGGGAGUGGAGGAGGAGGGCCACGGCGGCCGAGCUCCUCGCCCACCCCUUUGUCGCCAAGUGCGGUGACUGCGCCACCGCCGCAUGGACCCAGAAAUUAAUUUAAUUAAUAACUAGUUCGUUAAUUAACUAGUUGAUAGUGAGGGAUUUUAAUGCACGUACAAUAAGGACGAACGAACAAAGAAUAUGAAAAACAACAAGGUGGGUUCUAAUAAUUUUCUUUUCUUUUCUUUUCUUUUUUUGUUUUCCGUUUCCUCUACAGUUGAAGAGCUGGUACUAAAAAGGACUGACUCAUCAGGAGCUGUAAGAAAACAGUUUUAGCUCACCAUUACUAGGCGAGAAUAAUAUCUAUCCAUUUGACUAUGGUAUUCAAACGUUCUAUUUUCUCCUGCACCCGCUAAGCCAUACAUCAUCCUCCAUAACUUCUAAUAAAAGUUUAUUUUCUUACCACAAGAUAAUAAAAGAGAAAGAAGCAGCAGCCCUGAUUAAGUAAUGAGUUCAAAUUAAAAUCUUUAGACGUGAUCAGAAGUGGUUUGAAUGGAUGCCUCAUCUAUAAAAGAGUGAAAAAGUUCCUCCAAAAGUUGUUGAUUUAGACCCCUCUGCAUUCCAAACUUGACAGAUAGUCAACCAUAAAAAGAAAAACUAAUUUCUAAUUAGUAAUUACCCACAAUUAAAAUACUAAAAAUCAUCAAAAAGAUAUUAUUCUGCGAGGACCAUUUUGAGGAUAUGCAUAUAUAGUAUGCUUAUGGAGCAAUAGUACCAAGGCUGUGGACUGUGCAACCUUCCCAGUUCAAGUACAUUACUAGGCCAAUGAAGAACCUUUUUAUUUUCACUCCGAAGCAAACACACGCAGUUCCGUGCUAGCCAUUGAUGCUCGACUUACUAUAUUGGAGAUCACCAUUUGAAAUGAGAAGUAGAACCGACAAAAUAUGAGAUCAGAUGCUGUGCAAAGCAAACGGUAAUAAAUAUUUUGUUCUUUUGACAACAAAAGAAAACAGAAAGGAGGAAGCAAUGCAAACUUCUCCGUUAUCCAUUAUUAUGAAGUUCAACAAGUAAUGGACUUCUGAAAACAGGCACCGCGUGCCGGGAAGUAAGUUUAAGAGACAAAAAACCAUUUAAACAAGUGGUUGGCACUGCCCUCAUUUACCCUGACCGCCUGCAAAGAAGAACCACACAAGUAUUAUUCUUAAAAUCAUGUACAUUUUCAUAAUUACUUUUAUCAAAUUUGGAACAAAGCAGAUUCACCCCUACGAACCAUAGGUUCUUUUCUCUCUAUUUAAGCAGCUACUCAGUGAAAGACAAAAAAAAAGAAAAAGAAAAUUGAAGAACAGUCAUAUAGGAGUUAUAAUUCACACAUUAGCAUAGACUGUUUUCUAUUGUUAAUGUCGAAGUCAUGGUGCCGAUAUUUCAAUACCUUAUUUAUCUAUCUAGUUAAGUGAUUAACAGACUCAAUUCGGGAGCGCAGAUUACUUUUCUCUUUUCUCACAUCCAACAGACUUUGUUCCCCAUGCCAAUUUAAUUUCUUUUUCCUUUUUUUGUAGGAGAAAAUAUCUAUAAUUUUAGUAUUUGCGAUAUAAGCCAGUUUUAUGUUUUCUCUAUUAUACACACCAUCUUUCUCACCUUAGAAUGUGCAGACAUCUAGCUCUGAUUCUACAACAGAUCAUAUGGCAAUUCAUGGUCGUUAAUUUUGAAUUUGAUCCUCCAAUCAUUUCCACUCCAUCUGAUUAGCGCUCUAGAACUUCUUCAUCAACUGAUUUUCAAAAUCUAAGGCUCUAAAGGUACUCUUAAAUGCUUCAAAAAACAGAUGGUAAAAUGGUAAUGGAACAGUCAUGAUAAUAGAUGGCCUUGACGAGAAAUACCAGAUGAUUACAAGACACAACCUAUUAUUCUACAAAAAUCCUCUACUAAACAACCAUGCUUAAGCCUACAUUUUCAAGUAAACUACCUGAUGUCAUCUUGGUAAAUUGACACCAGUUGCGUAAAACUGAAAUUUUUUAGUACUCCACUAUCAGACCUGUUUUUAUGCCGCAUUUCACAAAUGUCCCUUCGUUACUGAAGGUCCAUUUAUCAGUUUGUUGUCGGGAAGAAUAAAGAAAAUUGGCUAAAGAAGUGUAAGAAGAUUGAAUAUCCCAAAAUCCAAGGAAAUAAAUCACCUCAAAGGUGAAAUAUGCCAUCUUGAAAAUCAUAAUUAGGACCUCAGGCCCUAAUUAUCAAAGUAUAUCAUUCCCAACAUCCAAACAGGACCUCAGUGAACAAAAACAAGUUUUGUUACAGAAAUGACAUCUCAGGAUGAGCUAGAGUUCACAAGGCAAUGAAAUUUAAAUACGUAAGUUAGAUUUUAAGAGAGAUCAGGGAUUUUUGACAUAAAUAUAGGAUAAAUUUGUGUAGAGUGAGCCCUUAGAAGAUCAAGAGGAUGCGGAAGAAGGGGUUGAUUUAAGGACUUUAGGCAGUGUUUGGGGAUUCCUAUGAUUCCAUCCCAACGAAGGGGGUAAAUAAUCCUUGAUGGGUAUUAUAGUAUGACGUGUUAUCUCCUCCACUGUACUUCACUGGGGUUUAGCCAGGAUAGAGCAGAAUAAUGCGCUGCCAAUGGGGAUAUCAUUAUUCCAUCUUACUCCAUGGAAUUACCGCCCUACGGCACCACUGCAUAAGGGACAAUUGGGUAGAGCCAUGUUGGAUGUAAAUUCUACAAAUCCUAACGGCAUAUAAUCAGAGUAAGAGACGUUGAGUAUACUUCUCACAAUCCACUAUCACUUCCCAACUAAACAGUAUCUUAAUGGACCAAAUACUGAAGGAGAAACAAAAAAAAAAAAAGAAAAAAAAGAAAAAGGAAUUUGAUGUGCAGUGUCAAAGAUAAAUGAAGAUUUUGUUCAGAAAUGCCCUGGCAACCAGUCAGAAAUUACGAAAGGCAUCGAUAUCAAUGUAUAUAUUAGUUUAGUUCAGAUGAUAAAAUAAGGAACCGACAUUUUGGGGCGUGUGAUUAUGGUGAUCAGAAAGAUAGGUUGUGAUUCAAAAUCUAUCACGCAGAAACAGAAGUUACAGAACAUGCACGUAAUUCGAAUAACACUAAUAACUGCAUUAGCACCAAUUGGAAUCAAGAGAUGUACACCACCGAAUUAGACGAGAAAAUGGACAUAGCAAAGAAGUUCAGCGCAGCAUCAGCACUAAAUAAGAAGAGGAAAGGGGUCUCACCUCACCGCAGCUUAAUUGACUUGUUCUCCUCCUUAUUCUUCUUGAGAAGGGAGGAAGAACUAAUCAAUCAUCAAGAUCCUUUUUGGGCCCUGGAACGUGUCAACAGGAACAGAUCAAAAACACGCAAACAAACCCUAGAAGAUGAAGGGAAGGGAAGGGGAUGGAUGAGGAGAUGGGGACCGUGGAGUUCGGGGGGGCGGGAGUCCUUGCCCCAGCCGACGCCGCGGGUGGCGUCGAGGUACUGGCGGGCGAGGUGGCGGCACUUCUGGAUGUGGUUGACGCCCUCGAUGCGGUAGCACCAGCGGAGGCGGUCGCGGAGGAUCUUGGCCGUCUCGAUCUGGAUCCACUUCUCCCGCACCAGGUGCUCCCGCAUCUCCAGCAUCGCCACCGGGUCCCCGUACGGAUUCGCCGGGUCGAACCCGUCCGGCGCCUGCUCGUCGAACUCCACCUUCGCCUUCCGCACCAUGAUCAACGCACGCGCGCACACACACACACACACUCUCUCUCUCUCUCUCUCUCUCUCUCUAUCUCCACGGCUCUGGUGCUUCCCCAGUCGCUAUUUAAUCCGUGCUUCAAGAUUCGUGCGUGAUUUUGCCCCUUUUUUGGUCUCUUAUUAAGAAAGCUUUUACGGCCCAGCCCUGCACAGCGAAACCCAACCCGUAAAGGACCGGCCCAAAUUUCCCUCCUAGAUUGCCGGCACUAUUUUCCUGCUAAUGCCUAGUUCGGCGUAAAACUAACCUAAUAAUUAUUUUCAAAUGUAAAAAAAUUUAUUUUUGCUUAUUUGGCUCAACGUAAAAUUACUUUUUAUGAAUUUGGAGAAAAUUAAAGUUUUUAUUUUCUUUUACUUAUUUUCGACAAGAAAUGAAAACUUAAACUGCAUAAAAUUUAGGUUAAUUACACCGGUAGUUCCCAACCUUCGCACCAAUUUUCACCUGAGUUCCAACUUUUUCUUUUCUUUUCUUUUUUUACAAUUGAGUCCCUAAUCUCUUAAUUUUAUUACAAUUAUGUUCCAAUCGUUAAAAAAACUGUUAAAUUAACAUAAUCGCCACGUCAGCGUCUAUUUGGCAAUCUUUUGUAUGUCAUCUUAGGUCCCUAAAUUUUGCACGUUUUUUAUGUUAGUCCAUAAAAAUAAAAAUUCAAAAUUUUAAAUUUAAAUUCAAAAAUAAGAUUAAAAUUAAAAGUUUAAACUAACAAGAAAUUAGAAUUUUGAAUUUGAAUUUAAAGCUGAAUUAAAAUUUUGAAUUGAAAAUCAAAUUUUAAAUUUAAAUUUAUACUUGAAUCUAAAUUUUAAAUUCAAACUUAAAAUUUUGAUUUUGAUUUUGAUAUUUCAAUUUACAUUUAAAAUGAAAGUUUUGAAACCGAAAUUUAAAUUUAAAAUCUGAAUUUAAAUUUAAAAUCAUAUUCAAAAUUUUGAUUUUAAAUUUUAAAUUUGAAUUCAAAAUUUAAAUUUGAAUUUAAGAUUUGAUUUCAAUUCUAAAUUUGAAUUUAAACUUCGAAUUCAAAUUCACAUUUUGAAUUUGAAAUUUCAAAUUGAUGUUUGAAAUUAAAUUAGAAUUUAGAAUUCCAAAUGUGAAUUUGAAUUUAAAAUUAAAAAUUUAAAAUUAAAUACAAAAUGGGAAUUUGAAUUUUAAUUUAAAUUUGAAUCCAAAAUCAAAAUUUAAAUUUAAAAUUUAAAUCUUAAAUUAAAUUUUUUUUUUGAAUUUAUAAAUUUAAUGGGUUAAUUACACCAUUGGUCUUCAACAUUUGCAUCGUUUUUUAAUUUGGUCCCAACCUUUUUUUUUUUUGUAAUCCGCUGACACGACGUCUCCGUAGUGCUGACAUAGCGCCUCCAUGGCACUGAUAUGAUGCUGACGUAGUAUUUUUCGUCAAUUUUAAUAACUACCUAACAACUAGUACUUAAUUGAAAUAAAAUCAAGAGAUUAGGGACUUGAUUGAAAAAAAAAAAUGUUGAGGACCAAAUUGAAAAAUAGUGUAAAGGUUAGGGACCAUUGGUGUCAUUAAUUUUAAAAUUUUUUCAUUUGUUACUUUUCCAUCGAACCAAAUAAAUGUAGAUUUUUUUUUUCCUUUCAACCAAAUAAAUGAUAAUGAAAAAUAAUUUCCUAUAAAUCAAAUACUAUAAAAUGUAAAAAAAAAAAUCACUGAAAAUUUUUUUCACAAAAAAAUUAUUUUUUACAAUUUUACGUUGAACUAAACGGACCCUAAAAGUAGAUGAAAACCCUCCACGAUAGGUCUAUUUAAAUAGCCUUCUCACUUUUACUACUUUUAAUAGGAAGCUUGUUAAAUUUUAAAUUUGAUAUUAUAAACUAAGUAAUUUUAGUUAAAUUGAAUGAAAGCUAAUCAAAUUUAUUAAUAAUUUUCUCAAUUAAAGUUUUGAAUGAUUUUCAAUAUGUUUUUUAAAAAUAAAAUUGAUUAGAUGCUAAUAAUAAACAGAAUUAUUAAAUUUAAUUAAAUAUUUUGAGUAAAUUACCUAGAAUAAUUUAAUUUCAAGGAUUAAAAAUUAAAAUAAAAUUUCUUCAGGAACGAUCGUUAUAAAAAAAUAGUUAAAAUAAACAGUUAGAAUGGGAAGUGUCCAAACUGAAUACGCCCCUGAAAUUGAUACCUGUGGUAAUUGGACCGGACCUAUCACCUAUAGAUUAGAAUGGGAAUAAAAGAUUUUUUUUUUUUAAAUCAAUAUUUUGCCAAUUGCUAUUAGUCUAUUAUUGUAUUUGGCAUUCACUAAGCCUUAAUUUGAUUCAGAUAUAAGUAAGAACUAUUUAUUUAAAAAAUAUAUAAAAAUUUAGGUAUAAAUAGGAAUUAAAGUAAAUUUUUAUUAGGACAAUAAAAUUGGGUUGUUCUCGCAAUUACGUAUUGUUUCAGUGGUUAGAUUGAAAUAAAAAAAAUAAAAUUAACUAAAUAAUUUUAAAUUAAUAAUAUUUUAUUUAAUUAAUAUAAUAUAUCAAAAUAUUAAUUGGAGAUAAGUAAAUUAAAAAAAAUUAUUAGCUAUCUUUUUGAAGGGCUUCAUAAUAAUAAGUGUCACAUAUUUGCACUUUUGGAUAAAGUAGUAGUAUUAUUCUACUUUUUGAUGAUAAACUGUGAUUUAAAGUAGCAACUUCCACAAAAAAUUAAUUAAUUUAACAAAUUUAUAAUUUAAUUGAUGAAAAUGAUUGUAGAAAAUAAAGUUAAGAAAGUGUUCUUGGAAAACAAAAAAAAUGAGCUAUAAUUAAGUCAUAUUUCGUAAAGUUUUAUCAAUUUUAUAAUUUAAAAUUAUACAUAAAGAAUAUAAAUUUAUUUUAUUAAAAAUAAUUUGAUUUUUAAAAUUGUUCAAGUUAAAAUUUUAAAUUAUUUUAGAAAUAUGCUUGGACUUUUGCUACAUCAACCCUCAUAAGUUGCUACAUCAGAAAUGAGUUCCUACACCUUACGUUAUGUUAGAUGACUAGCACUUCAAAAUUUAAAUUUAAUUUAAUAUGCGCAAUAUAAAAUAUUUAAAGAGCACAAAUAUAUCUAAUAAAUUAUAUUCUUACAUCUCUCGUAAAAUUAUAAAUAUAGGUGUGUCUAGUGUCUACAUUUGUAGACCCGCUACGGCAAUCUGGAGGGCCGAGCAGGCAAUUUGCCCACCAAAGGGAUAAAAAUAAAACAAUAAAACAAAACAGUAUUUCACUGUUUAUGUACCUUACCUGAGGCAUUUGAAUCACAUUAUCUAAAAUUCAUAGAUAUUAAAAAAAACACACAAAUUUCGUUCAUAGUAAUUGAAAAAUUAAAAAUUUUAUAAUUCCUCCUACACUUAAUUCGCACAAUUAUUAUUGAAGAUUAUAAAAAUUGCAAAAUUUUAUUAUAAACCGAUCCUUUGAAGAUUAUGAGUUUUGCUACCACAACCGACUUAAAAGAUUCAAAACAUCAGACUAUCACACAUUUUGGAACCUUUUGGUUGUGGGACCUUUUGGUUGCAUGUAAUUACAAUUGCACAUCAGUUAUAACCGCAUACAAAUACUAAUUUAGUAUUUGAUUUAAUCUAUUUUAACUUCAACUGCUACAGUAAAGACUGCCAAAGAAAAUUCAAUUGAAGCUAAGCCCAAAUUUACCAUAGUUUAUGAAAAAAAUAACCUUAAAUAAAAUAUAAACUUACCUCCUAAAAAAUAAACAAAAUUUUUUUUUUGUUUUUUUACAUUCAAGUUAAUUUUAUCAUCAUAUAUAUAAAAAGAUAAAAUUUAAAAAAUUAUUUCCUAGCUGCACACAGCCAAACAAAUUAUUUGUACUAUAUGAAGCCAAAUUUAGAUAUAUAUGAAGCCAAAUUUAGAUAUAAAACUAGAAGAUGCAUUAGAAAAAAGCAAAAAUCACGAGUAAAUGAGUCCUUGGACAGACUUCAGCAUAAGUUAUAACAUACGCUUAUACGGCCUCCUACAUACUACAAGUUCCAUCAUAAGUUAAGACACAAGUAAAGUAGAACAUCAGUGGAAUAGCGGAAACCUCCAGAGAGACCCGCAAGACUAAAAUCUACUCAACAGCAACAGCACCAUCCGGACCAAUAUUUUGGAGUGGCUGCCUGCAUAGCAGACAGAGUUUCUUCUUCUGGAUCUCUUGCCCGCUAGUAGCACCCACCUCUACUGAUGGAAACCGUGUCGAUUUGCCAAGCUGAUGGAAAAAAAAAAAAGUUAGAAAUUGAAAAAACACUGCACUGUUGAGAGAAAGAGAACGCGGGUCAGCUUGCUCACCUCAUUUGCCCGGACCUCAUUUGCACUGCUUCUCACUACCCUCCGGCAAUAAUUUCCAACUAUGUCCUCAUGUGUCAUGUCGAAAAACUUGUUUAGCCCAACCCGGGAACGUGGUCCCUUAACCAUUCGCUUCUCUGCACGGCACUUGUUUAUAAAGUCCACAUUUUUGCAAAAGAUUGCAAAUCGCCGCUCCUUCUCCGCAGCAUCCGCAUACGUGCGUUUGAACUUUUUGAUCAAUAGCUCAAACCUCCCACGCCUCACCAUUUCUGUUGCCCAAGAGACGGCCUUGCCGGUGAGUCCAUUGGCAAAGGUAUUCAUGCUGCUGCUGAGAUGGAAAAUAAUUGUUUGUUUCGGUAGAUCGAAAAUCGAGACUCCGAGGAGAAAAAGAAAUCCAAUAGACACAUAGUAUAAGGAAAUUAAUAGAAUUCGAAUGAAAAGUACUCGGGGUCUUUUUAUUUCUAAAAACUUGUUGAAAAAUACUCCAAAAUCUUUGAGAAUUAUUUCUUAAAAUUGCAUUAACUAGUGGAAUCAAACAAUAGGUAGACAAGAUCUGCAAUCUCUAUAAUUCUAGAAUUUGCAGCAGCCGGAUAGGACAUAAAGAAGAUAAAGUCGAAUGUAAGAACCCUAAAGAGGAAAAUAUGAUUCAACACAUCUGACUUGCAUCAGGUGUACGACAAAAGCAGACCAUAAAAAUUAGGUUAGAAAAUGAAACUAAUCACAAACAUGUCAAAUAAAAGUUGAGAAACAUCUAAAUUCUUUUCAACAAAAAAUAACUAUCGUAGGCCCAAAAAUGACAGUACCCUAUGUCUGGCGCACUAUGUAUACAAAUGCCAAAGAAAACAUAGAUCAGAUCAAGCGUACGACUCCAAAUUGCUUGACCAACAAAAAAUAAUCAGAACAAACAUAAAACUGUUUGGAGCAAGAAGAAAACAGAUUACAAGAUAUUGAGAAAGAAUAGGAAAAAAUAUAUAUAUUAAAUGUAAACUCUGAUUUGUGUUAGCAAAUCGAUUUAGGUCAGGUCGGCGAAUAUAUAUAUUUCAGUACAGAAUCAGUUAUUUGAAAAACCAGUAUACCAGUUCCAGUUCCAAACCGAACAGCAAACCAGCCAACCCGUUUAUCUUGGUGCUGAAACUUCUCUGGAAAACCGGCCUUGCAUUCUGUUGAAAGGGCCCCAAAAAAAAACCAAAAAGAAGAAAGAAAAUGUAAGAAAAGACACGAAGGAAAAGAUGUGAGAGUCUAACAUCAUCCAUUCUAUUUUAAGUGGAAAAAAACAGAAAAAUUGAUCAAAUAAUUAAAGUGCAACAAUAUGAUUAAUUAACUUCUUUUUCUUUUUCUUUUUUUUUUUUUGGAGAAGAUAGCACGCUACCCGUUUUAUUCAUUGGUACGACGAACUUUUAGUCCAGAGAAGUCCAAGAUUGAACAAUUGCGAACUAUUCAAGAUACAAUGGAGAGUCUUCUAUAACAUGCACCCAAUAUAUUCCGAGAGGGAUAAAUAAAUAAAUAAAUCCCAAUAUAAUAAUAUAGAAUUAAAUACAUCUUCAGAGAUAGGCCCGAUGCACUCAUGCUUCGAAAAGAGCAAAAAGAGCCAAUAUCAAAGCCAUUAGAGUGAAUGGUUAGGUAGUUGGAUCACAAACUCAUAUAGAUGGUAAAAUUAGCAAAUAAACUACAAAUCCUGCCUUCGUAAGAGGAGCAAAUCAAAAUAAUUGAUGCUUCGAUUUUAAAAACGCAAAAAAAGAAAGCAAUUUCAAGAAAACAGGGUUAGAAAAGAGUAACACCUAAAGAAAAAAUAUUAGAACGGCAAACCACUCACACCUGGACACGACUAAUGUUUUGCUGUUUGUUGAAUUACAAAUAAGAAGAUGAAGAUCCCCACAUCGGGUAACACUUUUAUAGAUUUUACAUGCAAUUGGAAAGGGAAAGAAGAGAAGGGGUAAAAGCGGUUCGAUUCCAGAAACUUUUCUUUAAAAAAAAAAAAAAUGGAAAUAGAAAAUCUGAACAGGAAGCGAACCUAGAUAAACCCAGAUUGUCGUGUUAAAACACAAACAAAACCCUAGACGAAGUCAGAUUAAAAACGACAAUAAACUAGACGAACUUAGAUUAUAAAAAAAAAAAAAAAGAAAUUGGGUAAUCUAGUUCCAAAACACUCUUUAAAGAAGGGAUUCAUUCGAAUACCUCAAAGAUAGAGAGAGAGGACCUCACGGUGAGAGAGGGAGAUCGGAAGAGAGAGGGCGAAGAGGCGAAAAGGGGAUCGGGGUUUAAUGAAAGGAAAAGGUUAAAUUACACAUCUCGUCCUCACACAAUGAAUUAACUUUUCUCACGAAAAUGUAGUAGUCGAAUAGCGGAAUUCAAUUUAGUUGAGUGUACAUGCAAAUACAUAUAAUAAUUUUUUUAAUUUAUUUUAAAAAUAAUAUAAAUUUUUAUAUAUUAUAUUUAUAUAAAAGUCUAUAAUAAAAAUUAUAUUUUAUAAAUUUAUAUAUUAUAUUUUUUAAAAAAAUAUUUACAAUAUUUUAUAAUAUUAUUAUAUAUAUAUAUAUGUUAAAUAUUUUUAUAUAUUUUUUCAAUUCAAAUAAAUAUAAAAUUUAAAUAUAUUGUUUAAACUAAAAAUAUUAGAAUUUAAUUAAUAUUUACUUUAAAAUUUAAAAUUUAAUUUUGAUCUAUUGUAACUAAAUAUUUUAAUUGUUAAUUCAAAUCUGAUAUCUAAAAUUUAUAAAUUUAAAUUUAAUUUACGAUUUAAACUCAAAUUUUAAUUUUUAUGUAAAAUAGGGGAUAAGAAUGCUAUUUUUUAAGAGAUUUAUCAUAACUGUUCGUUUUUAUUUAAAAUAAUUUUUAUUGAAUUGAUAUAAUCAUUGGUAGAAUUAUAAUGGUAGGAUUGAAUUUAUAGAUGAUAGGAAUAUUAUUUUUCCUAAAAAAUUUAUUAUAACCGUUUAUUUUUAUUUAAGAUAAUUUUUAUGGAAUUGAUAUUACCAUUGGCAGGAUUGAAUUUAUAGCUGGGUUCAUUCUUAUUUCAAAUAUUUUUUUUAUAAAUUAAUUAUAAUCGUUCGUAAUGAAUCAUCUUCUAUACGCUUUUAUAAGAUUUUUUAUUCCAUCUGUUAUUAUAAAACUUUCUAUAUGAUUUUAUUUAUAGUAUAGAUAAUAUAAAAUAAAUAAAUAGGAAUGCUAUUUUUUAACAGAUUGGUCAUAAUCAUUCGUUUUAAUUUAAAAUAUUUAUAAAUAAUAACUGUUAAUAGGAUUAGUUAUAGAUGGGUAACAAUCUAUUUUUUAAUAAAUUGAUUAUAACUUUUGUUCUUAUUUUCGAUAUUUUUUAGUAAAUUAAUUAUAGUUGUAUAUAAGGAAUAUACUUUUAUUUCUUUUUUAUUCUGCUUGGUACUAUAAAAUUUUCUAUACCAUUUUAUGUAUAGUAUAAAAAUAAAUAUAAAAUAUAAAUUAUAAGACAUCUUAAUUAUUAUUAUAUCAUCAAUAAUAAAAAUAUUAUUCCAUUUAUUGCGUCAGCACACUAUAAGCAUGAUCUAAAAAAAUUGUGAUUAAUUUCAUCAGUACCCUUCCACCACCCUAGUAACAUAGGUACCCUCCAAAAAGUUGUCAAUAUCAAAAAAAUAAAUACUCUUUCACAUUUAGUAAAAUUAAUUAAACUAUCCAUAGUACUCAUAUUCUAUUAAAAAUAUAACUAUUGUAAUAGUUAUCCCUCUCACACUUACAACUAUUGUAAUACACAAUAGAUGAUUAAGAAAGAUAGUAUGCACUUAUUAUAUGUAUUUUUCUACUUUAAUUUAAUUAUUUUAAUAUGUUUUUAUUUUCGCUAGUUUUGUAACCUUUCUAUNNNNNNNNNNNNNNNNNNNNNNNNNNNNNNNNNNNNNNNNNNNNNNNNNNNNNNNNNNNNNNNNNNNNNNNNNNNNNNNNNNNNNNNNNNNNNNNNNNNNNNNNNNNNNNNNNNNNNNNNNNNNNNNNNNNNNNNNNNNNNNNNNNNNNNNNNNNNNNNNNNNNNNNNNNNNNNNNNNNNNNNNNNNNNNNNNNNNNNNNNNNNNNNNNNNNNNNNNNNNNNNNNNNNNNNNNNNNNNNNNNNNNNNNNNNNNNNNNNNNNNNNNNNNNNNNNNNNNNNNNNNNNNNNNNNNNNNNNNNNNNNNNNNNNNNNNNNNNNNNNNNNNNNNNNNNNNNNNNNNNNNNNNNNNNNNNNNNNNNNNNNNNNNNNNNNNNNNNNNNNNNNNNNNNNNNNNNNNNNNNNNNNNNNNNNNNNNNNNNNNNNNNNNNNNNNNNNNNNNNNNNNNNNNNNNNNNNNNNNNNNNNNNNNNNNNNNNNNNNNNNNNNNNNNNNNNNNNNNNNNNNNNNNNNNNNNNNNNNNNNNNNNNNNNNNNNNNNNNNNNNNNNNNNNNNNNNNNNNNNNNNNNNNNNNNNNNNNNNNNNNNNNNNNNNNNNNNNNNNNNNNNNNNNNNNNNNNNNNNNNNNNNNNNNNNNNNNNNNNNNNNNNNNNNNNNNNNNNNNNNNNNNNNNNNNNNNNNNNNNNNNNNNNNNNNNNNNNNNNNNNNNNNNNNNNNNNNNNNNNNNNNNNNNNNNNNNNNNNNNNNNNNNNNNNNNNNNNNNNNNNNNNNNNNNNNNNNNNNNNNNNNNNNNGUAGCAAGCUAAAUAUUUCGUUCAUUAAGUGAGAUGAACUAAGCGUACAAAUUGGAUGCAACAAUCCUUAUAGUUGUACAUAAUUUCGAAACAGAUUUUAAAACAUCAUAGUUCAUGGUUAAUACUUUUGUAAUUUUUUUAUUUUUAUUGAAACAUGCACUUUUGCACUUUUGCAAUUAGUAGUAGAUUGGUUAGCUUAAGUUAGUAAUCACCAAAAGCUAGUAUUUUGAUUGGUUACUAAAUUUUUACAAAAAUUUACUCCAUGCACCCCUAUUGGGCAUAAUUUAAACAGUACUUUGGUUAAUUACUAAAUAUUAUACUUUUAAACAGGUUUUAAGAUAGAUAGAGAUGGAAAUUUAAUUAAACCAGUGUAAAACUUAAUAUUAUUUGUUAUCUAAUCAAGAAAAAUAGAUCCCACUAAGAACGAAUAUAAGCUGAGAAAUUAUUAAUAUGAAAAAAAAUGUCGUCGUACGCUUAUCAAAAUAUUUAGAGAGAGAGAAAAGUUACAAACCCAAGGAAAUCUAGCAGAAGGGAGCUCUUUUGCGCCUUCUUGGUUCAGCAAAAGAGAGAUAAUCAAGGAAAGUCUUUUCUUUACUCCUUUCUUACAAAAGAUUGCAUUGGGGAUAAUCAAGGAAAAUCUUUUCUUUACUCCUUUCUUACAAAGAUUGCAUUGGGACAGUAAAUUAUUUAUAAGAAGUUUAUAAAGCAAAAUUAAUUAAUACCCAAAGUUUUUAUAAGAAGAACUCUUACCUAAAAAAGUGCCAUCUCCAGCGUAAAGGGAGAAAUCUUUUCGGGUUUUCCUUUGUUAUUUUAUGCCAUAUCAAAGAUAUUUUUUUAAAAAAAAAUCUAACAGCAUAAGGUAAGGUAUUGUGUGGUUUGAGUAUAAACAAUAUCAGAAAUAUGUAUAAAUUCAGGUAUAAAUAAAAACUAUAUUAAUUUUACGUUUGAACAAAAAUUAAGUUACUCCCAAAAAUAAGAAAAAAUAGUGUUUCGAUAGAUAGAUAAGUUAGAAUAAGAAAAAUAAUGAAUAGUUAUAAAUAAAAAUAAUGAUAUUACUCCUAUCAUUAUAUUUUAUUUUCAAAUUUUGAAUUUCACUUUAAAUUUAAGAUCAAAUUUAAAUUGAAAAAUAUAAAAUAAAAAUUUAAAAAUUUAAAAAUUUAAAAUAUCAAAUUUUAAAUUUUAAAUUUAGAAUUUAAAAUUAUAACUUUAAUUUUUAUAUUACAAAAUAUAAAUAUUAAAAAUUUUAUAUUUAAAGUUUAAAGUUUAAACUUUUAAAUUUAAAAAUAAAAAUAGAGGUAGGAAAAAUUAAUAGGGUAAACUUCAAAUACUCCUGUGGUUUCACACUUUCUCAUUUUAAUACUUUAUAGUCUAAAGUGUAUCAAGUUANGGCAGCGGACACGUGGACGGCCUCAGUUGCGGGGAGGAGCACGAUAACGAACACCAGAAGCUGCAGCAGCAGCACCAGCAGCAGCAGCAGCAAACGCCGUCGGGGAGUGCGAAGAAGAAGCGUUACCACCGCCACACCGCGCACCAGAUUCAAGAAAUGGAAACGUGAGAUUAUCAUCACAGUACUCCUGUUCCAUACUAUUAAUUUUUUAAAAAAAGAAAAAAAAAGAUUUUCGUUAUAUUUGUAUUUAACAAAAAUAAAUAAAUGUAUUCGAGUUCGAGAGGUAUUUUUUUUAACAACAAUAGUAAUAAUUUUGUUAAUAAAAUAAUUAAUCAGGUUGUUUAAGGAAUGUCCGCACCCGGACGACAAGCAGCGGCUGAAGCUGAGCCAGGAACUCGGCCUGAAGCCCCGCCAAGUCAAAUUCUGGUUCCAGAACCGCCGCACCCAGAUGAAGGUGCGCACGUUAGCCCUACCUCUCCUGCCUUCUCUACCAUGCACACUCCCAUUGUAUCAACCAAAAAAAAUCAAAAAAAAAAAGAAGGUAAAAAUAUUUUGAUGCGGCUAUAUGGUGUUGUUGGACGGAUUAGGCGCAACAAGAUCGGGCGGACAACGUAGUACUGCGGGCGGAGAAUGACAGCUUGAAGAACGAGAAUUUUCGCUUGCAGGCCGCCAUCCGGAACGUCGUCUGCCCCAACUGCGGCGGCCCCGCCGUCCUCGGCGAGAUGUCCUUCGACGAGCAGCACCUCCGCAUCGAGAACGCCCGCCUCAAAGACGAGGUACGUGCCUGCUGCUUAUGUUACGCCCCACCUCUAAAUGGCUAAAAUCCUAUGCCAUCAUCAAACUACGUGCUUAGACGAAUUAUGGCUAUAAUGCAGCUCGAACGCCUCACGUGCAUCGCAUCCCGCUACAGCGGUAGCGGCAGCGGCGGUCGACCGAUGCAGCCGCUUGGAGCGGCUGCGCCUAUGAUGAUGCCGUCGCUUGACCUCGACAUGGGUAUAUACUCGAGGCACUUCAGCGAGCCCGCAUUGGCAAAUUGCACUGAUAUGAUUCCGGACGGCCACCAACCGUUUGCCGGAAUGCCGAUUAUGGAUCAAGACAAACCCCUUGUGCUUGACCUCGCGAUGACUGCUGCGGACCAGCUUACCAGAAUGUGCCACACCAGUGGGCCGUUAUGGGUCCGUAACACCGGUGACGGUACGGAAGUUCUUGACCUCGAUGAGCACGGCAGAAUGUUCCCGUGGCCGAUCGACUCAAAGGAGCAGCAUAUGGAGUUCCGGACGGAAGCAACGAGGGACAGCGCGUUGGUCAUCAUGAACAGCAUCACUUUGGUCGACGCCUUCUUGGACGCUGUGAGUAGUUGACGCUUUUUAGUUACUAGCUAGUGUUCUACUCAAUGGGUGGUAAUUCUUAUAUAUAGAUGAUCGAUCGUUAACACAUUCUUCAAUAUUUGUAGAACAAAUGGAUGGAGCUGUUCCCUUCAAUUGUUCUGAAAGCAAGAACUGUACAGAUUAUAGCACCUGGGAUCUCCGGUCAUUGCAAUGGCUCGCUUCAUCUGGUAACUUUUAUUUCUAGCCAUUCUAAUUGAUAUAUAUGUUGGUACUGUUAUGAAUUUCAUUCUUCUUAAUACUUUGAUAUAUCUAUCCGCGUACAGAUGCAUGCUGAGCUCCAAUACCUAUCCCCUUUGGUGCCCGUGCGUGAGAUCCAGUUCUUCCGAUAUUGCCAGCAGAACUCGGGGGAGGGGACAUGGACGAUAGUUGAUUUUCCCGUCGAUGGGUUCCAAGAUGCAGGCCUUCAAGUGUCACUUGCUCGGUGCAGGAGGCGGCCGUCUGGCUGUAUAAUUCAAGAUAUGCCAAAUGGGUACUCAAGAGUAUGUCUUUCUGCCCACAUGCACGAGUAUCACGUUUCUUUCUUAAUUUCUUUUGCGGGGAUCACUGUAGUGGUCAUACAUCGAUUUGUUUAUGUGCUGAAUAAAUAUGUUGCAGUUUGUUUAGUUCCCCGAGCUAAACUUCAUUACGGAUAGCAUUGACAUAAUUUUGGCUUCUUAGGUACAAUUAUAGAUGCUUUGCAAGGACUGAACAGUCUUUCAUUAAUUCGAGAGCACAACCUACGCUGUGUCAACACUAAAACGUCUGUGAUACUGUUACUUUUAGUUUUGAGCAUUCUAUGCUUACCAUAAGUUUAUGCCAGGAUAUUAUUAUGCAUAUUAAAAGCGAGAAAAAUCAUGGUAAUUAAUACGUACGUCUAAUAUAGAAAUCCUUGUCCGAGAUAUAAAAACCAAUACUUGUUUUCUUUGACGCAACUUUUUUUUUUGCAUCAAACUAAUAUUCACAAUGCAUGCUUUUGAUAUUCAAGUUUGAAUUAAUGUACAUUCCACUAAUGUAAUAAUGUUUCUUCUAUUUAAGACAUAAAACUAUGCCACGCGUUUAGUCAUAGCAUCAUCUAAUUCACGCAAGCUAUUAAUUCAUAGAACAAGAUCAGUGAAGUUCGAUUGACUCUACUUCUAGCUUAGUAUACUCUUUAUUAUGUAGGUUAUCUGGGUAGAACACAUAGAGGUAGAGGACAGGCCAGUGCAUCAGGUAUUCAGUCAGUUUGUAAACAGUGGGAUGGCUUUUGGUGCAACGCGAUGGGUCUCAAUCUUACAACGUCAAUGUGAAAGGCUUGCGAGCCUCAUGGCUAGAAAUAUAUCUGAUCUCGGAGGUCGCUAUUCUUUAACCCUACUCUAAAACCAAAUAAAAAAUUCAUAUAUAUUGAAUUAUAUUUGUCUUAAGAAUGAUACUGUUGUACAAGUGCUCAUCUAUAAUUUGGUUUCAUUCAGUGAUUCCCUCACCAGAGGCAAGGAAGAACAUGAUGAAAUUGUCGCAAAGAAUGAUAAGAACCUUUUGUGCUAACGUUAGCGCCUCAGGAAUGCAAUCUUGGACGGCACUCUCUGAUUCUUCUGAGGACACAAUUAGGGUAACUACUAGGAAGAACACAGAGCCAGGCCAGCCGAAUGGUGUCAUUUUAACUGCAGCUUCAACCACAUGGCUUCCAUUUUCACACCAACAAGUAUUUGAUCUUCUUACUGAUGAGCAACGGCGAUCUCAGGUACUUAAGAUGGUGCCCUCUACUUUUUUUAAAAAAAGCUUAUCUUACUUUCUUCUUUUAAAGCAAUAGGAAUAAUAUGAGUAUAAUAUAUGCAUUUAACUUUCAGCUUGACGUCCUCUCUAGCGGAAACUCACUUCAUGAGGUUGCUCAUAUUGCAAAUGGUUCUCAUCCGAGGAAUUGUGUCUCUCUUUUGCGCAUUAAUGUGAGUAUACAUUCCUCACCUUAUAGAUGUUGCUUUUACGUCAUUCAUAAUGCGCAUUUUAUAUGAGGAUUGAGCUCAAAAGAUGCAUGGAUGGGAGUAUAAUUAUCAUUCCCAUUAGCUGGUUCUAUUUUUCUUAAAGUUUGCAGCUUUGAUAAUUUUUGUAGUGCAUUGAGGCCGUAAAUAUUGAAAAAUUAGAGAGAAUUUAAGCUUAGAGAAGAAGUAUUAAGACUGAAUAUUCAAAGCCAAUAUGAUUAAAAUAUUUAGUAAAGGCAACAUCCUAAAUUAGUAAAUAUAUUGCAUUUACGUUUGCUUUUUCUUAAAUAUUAUGUUUUUUCCCCAUCAAUGAGUAAUGAGAAUAUCAUAAACCUGCAUGGAGAUUGUAUGAAUUCACAAACUUCGAAUUAAAAACGAAAUGAGAACCCCAAUAAGAUAUGUUAUGCCACUCCCGCCAUUUUUUUUGGCCGAAAAAUAAAAAAAAGAAAAUAUAUAUAUUACUCUGGAUGGGUCUCUUUCUGAUGUUGAGGGAGGAAAAUGGCCAUCAUUCUGUCAAUGUUGCCCUCUUUCUUAUUUAAAAAAAUGCUACAGUACUUCCUAUAGAGCUUGUUUUGUUUGUGCUGUGUUGUUUCACCAAUAUAUUUUUGUGAAAUUGUAUAUAUCAGCAUGUUAUUUGGAUAUAACAUAUCUAUUAUCAAACUUCUAGAGAUUUAACUUUUACCAUUGGCGUAGAAAAAGGUAGUUAACCGCAUUUACUGUUCCUCUUGCUAUUUAGUCAUGUUCGCCUUUAACCCUGCUAUAGUAUUUAAUGGAAAUGGAGAAACUAUGUCCAUAGCAUCCGAGCAGUGGAAGUAAAGUUUGAAAUGGCACAGCUAUGGAGACAUUUAUUAUUUGCCCGAAAGAUAUAAGACAAGGAGCUCUGGCAACUUGAGCUGUCAAAGGGUUUCCUCAUUGAAUGAGCGUUUGAAUAGCCAUCAAGUGUGCCACACAUACCUUCCUGUCAACUUUGGGUUGCCACCAAUCCAACCUGGCUUUCUCACUCCCUUUGAGUUGUUCAACAUAAUUUGAUCUAUAUAUAUAUAUAUAUAUAUAUAUAGAGAGAGAGAGAGAGAGAGAGAGAGAGAGAGAGAGAGAGAGAGAGAGAGAGAGAGAUAAAAGACAGUAGAAAGAUCGCCUCCUUUCUUAUUUGUUUUCCCGAUAUCUGACGGUAAAAAAAAAGGGGAGGUCGUCAUGUCCCAUGAUGCACUGAUCGAACUGUAUCACAUCGUCCUACCAAUCCAAUGAAAAACCAAAGCAAAAGCUUCUCUCUCUCUCUCUCUCUCUCUCUCUCGGAGACGAUAAUGCAUAUUUAUUUGUACAGUAUAUUUAUGUGUAUUCUUUCAUAUAUAUCCUUCGUUUCAGACUGCAAGCCAAAUUAUCUUCUUAUUUUUCUUAUGCUAGAACAGGAGACAAAAAAUUUUAAGAGAGAGAGAGAAUUAACUAAGAUAAUAGAGAUCAUACAUAGUCCAUUAGUUCAAUGAUAUAUAUAUAUAUAUAUAUAUAUAUAUAUAUAUAUAUAUAUAUAUAUAUAUAUAUAUACAUAUAUAUAUAUAUAUAUAUAUAUAUANCUCCCCAUCUCCUCCGCCGCCAUCGCGAACCUCCUCCGCCACCCCCGAAGGUGAUGGCAGCGGUGCUUCCGCCGCCACCGCUGCUGCUGUUGCCCCGGGAUGCCUCCUAACUAUCAGCAUGCAGGUGCUGGCGAGUGCAGUCCCAUCAGCGAAACUGAACCUCUCGAGCGUGACAGCCGUCAACCACCACCUCUGCAAUGCAGUUCGCCAGAUUAGCGCCGCCCUCGGCGGGCCGCCUCAGCCAGAACCGGCCGGGACGGCGGCGCCGCCUGACCCGUGAGGGGAAGCAGAAAGGUGGUGGAGUUAACUGCUAUACUGCCUGGUGCAAUCCGUCUAUACCGAUCGAUAUUCCCAAAAUGCCCCCCCAACACCUCUGCUUUUCACAUAUAUAUUAUAAUUGUUGAGUAUUUAGUAACUAAAAUCUCUAGAUUAUUUUUUGUACAGGAGCAAGAGAGAAUUUGACAAGGGCCCAUGCAGAGCUGCAAAAUGACCAAAAUAUCCUUGUCGAGUCGGGCAUUUUGGUUAUCUUAUAUUUUGUGUACGCGUGUAUAGUCCAUGGGCGUUGUCAAGUUUUCACUUGCUCCGAGCUUUUACUCUAUUUGCAAUUCAUAAUCAACUUUGCAAAGGGCAUUUUGGUCAUGUUGGUGUGGCAUUGAUGGGAUCCGGGCAAUCUCCACCUACCCACUGCCAUCUAAGAUAUGCUUCCCAGUGAAUUAAACAUGUUGAAGGCCGGCUGGCUAGUUAUUAAUAUAUGUAAUAAGAUCAAGAGGGAUGAAUUAAUUGUGUUGUGUUGUGUUGUGUUGUGUAGUGUAGUGGUUGGGGGAAUGUUGUGAAAUUAGGGUUUGUUGGAGGAGGGGAGUCAAGAGCGCACCAGGUGUGACCCUGAAUGCUCUCUCCCUUUUUUAAGGCCCAAAAUUUGAAAAGAGGAAGCCCAAAAUGGCUUCUGGGCCUAAAAAAAAAAAGCGGGGAGUGGGAAAGGAGAAGGGUGUUGGUUCGGGUAUUGACUUCCUUCUUGCGUUACUUUAAACAUGUUGUUGCUCUCCUUUGUCUUAAUUUGGCGUGUUUGUGUACGUAAUUUAACUCUUCGUUUUAGCUUGGUCUCCUUUUGGGAGCGCGCGCGCGCCUUUUUGUUCGCAGAGGGGUUGGUUGGGUGGAGUUAAUGCUUUUUAUGACCGUAUUUAUGACUUUGAGCUUUUAAUGUCCAAUCCUCCUUUUUAGGUUCGUUUCUACUUUCAUGCAGGGGCGUGGAAUUGGCCGAGCCAUGUUCUGUAAUUGAUGGUUUCGGUCCUUGGAAGUACCACCUCCACUGUUGUCAUUUUCCGAAAUCUUGAAAGUAUAUUAAAAUUUCUUCUUGACAGUGCUAGGCGAAUGUGAAUGGGAUUUUUUUAAAACUGAAUUUUCCGAAACCCAGGUGACUGAGCGACUCCAGGUAGAAUAUGUAACUCGUGAAUUUUAUGAAGCUAUUUGGAAUGAUAAAUAUCUCAUCAAAGACUAUGAUAAAUAUGAGCUGAAGUUAUGUAACAAUUUUUUUUUUUUAUUAUCGUAUUUUCAUACAGUAUGAAAAAUUUUGUUUGAAUAUUAUUAUUUCUGCUGGACAAUAUUUUUCUCAUCAAAAUGAAGGUCAAACCCCCCCCCUUGAUUCGGCUGGCUGGAUAAUAUAGAGAGAUUAAGGAACCCUCCCUCCUCCCAUGCUUAGGCUAUCUGAUCCACCGUUCAUCAUUAGUGCUCUAACCUUAAAUCAUCUUGAGUGGUGAAAUAGACCAGUGCUGCUAAGGCUUAGUUUGGCAUUGGGGCCUAUUUAACGCUAUUAGAUAAAAUGGAGUUGUUGAAAAAGCAUAUAGGGAUAUGUUAUUGCGUUCUCCGGUGGGACCGCACCCCUGCAGAACGGAAUAUUACGUAUGGAAACAAACAGUAUAUUUUUUCAAUGUACUUUCUCACCGAACUAACGCAAUCUCCCCGCAAUCCCAAACGAAGCCUAAGCUAGGGUCAGAGUCACAUCUGGGCCCUUUCUAUAUUUUGAGCCAGGUUGGGCCUGAUCUGAUCCACUGUACAUUGUCUGAAAGAACGAGCGGCCCAAAACCAUGAUAGUCUGAUGGGCCCAGCCCAUUUGUUGGUGUUAUGUGGGACUCGGGCUUUUGGAUCUAGGACGGCAACAAUCUUGUCCUAGAUGGGCCCCCGAUUGACGCAACAGCCUAAUUGUAGACGGCUUACUAAAUGGAUAUGCUCGCCCGAAACAUACGAGUACGCUGUUAAAAUCAAAGGAUAAUUUGAUUUCUAGAGGUCUUUUACUCGCAGUAUGAUUUUGCAAUACAUAUAACGAUAUCAAUGAACUGGUCAUGUACAAAUGCUGAAAACGGCAAAAGCAAGCUCAUGGAAAUUGGAAAACCAACUUGGAAAGAUGACACCAUUAUAUCACUGUACAUUAUCCGGACAUUAAAAUAUAGGCCUGGAAAGAUUAUUAAACAGCUAGUUAAGGUCAGUGCAAGCUAAUCAACAAUAAUAACAACACAAAAAAAAAAAAAAUAAAAUAAAAAACAGAAGCACUGCUCAACAUGUUUCUACUUCUCCGAUAGAGAAGUUACAUUAGGGAUGUGGCUUAGUAGAGCUUGAAAUAAUAAAUGAUACUGUAAAAACAUACUCCAAUCAAUCAAGCAGUAACUAUUAUAGAAAAUCUGAUAAACUAAGCAAUGCUGCAGAACACUUUUACAAUUUUUACUCGCAUUUUCUGUAUCAAAUGAUAAAUUAAAGUUUUUAUUUAACGAAGUUUGCGGAUUUUAACCUAUAACAAUUCCAAUCCAGUUUCACCACCCUAAAAUUGCAUUAUACACAGCUGAUCAAAGAAAGAGACGGAAAUGAAGCCUGACGCCUUCAGAAGACCGGGCAGCCAUCCACAAUGACCCCUUUGGCCGUGGGACACGUCGCGAGGUCGCAGUGCUCGCCGGCGGUCCCCCACCAGUUGAGGCUCUUGUUCUCCAUCGUCACCGCAAAGUAGAGCAGCACCCCCAUCAUCGCCACCCCCGCGUCCAGCCCUGCCGACAGGACGUAGUUGUACCUCUGCCACCACUUCUUCCGGUACCUGUACACGAAGAAGUUGAACACCGUCCCGACCGCCGCCCACGACGUGUAGUUUACUGCAGUAGCCGGCGGCAUAUUGGCAGUUGCACCAAGAAGCACGGGGAGGUUUAUCAGGGGGAUCCACGAUUGCUCGGGGAAGAUCCUGUGGAAGGCCCAGACGAUGACCGGGCCGACAGCACCGCCAAGGAAGAACCAAUUGAGCGCGCCGUAAUUGCCCAGCGGGCCGAAGAUGCGGCGCGGGCCCACCAGGCCCCAGAUGACGGACGCGUCGAAGAAGACGCGGUCGCUGGGGCACGUCCACGGGCUGUUGGGCGGGAGGAGGUCCCUCUGGCAGAUGUCGGUGAUCGAGCCCAGGAGCCACCAUGCCACGCCUAUGUUGAUUGUACCGGCGACCACUGUGCCGACAGCCUGCAUUAAGCGGCGGCGAGAGUUUAGCCAUUUUCAUCACACAAAUAAAAGUUAGAAUCGCAAACUACGCUUUUCAGUUACAUGCAUAUAUGCACGUAGGCUAGUAGAAUCAGUGAAACAUAUUUGCAACUUGCAAGAAAUCGAUCUACUUGAAAACAGACAAUCAAUAUAGUAAAAUUUAAUGGUUAAGUUGUAGCGUCAGAGAAAGUGUACCGCAUUUUAAGUUGAUUGAUCAAGUAGGAUGAUUUGAGAAUACUACCUGAACUAGGAACAUGGAUUUGGGCGGGAUCUUCAUGUAAUGGCCGAGCUUGAAAUCGGAAAGGAAGGCGACGGCCUGCGCCAUGCUCAUGUAACCGUAGACCUUGAAGCACACGUUGGCGAUCGGCUUUCCCGGCAGGAUCAGACCCAUGCAGUAUUCUGUGAUAAUAUUCAGUCCCGGAGUCUUUGUUUUUCAUUCAGAAAAAAAGAAGAACAAAAAAAAAAAAACAAAUCAGGAUGAUUAUCAUGUACCAAAUAAAUAAAUAAAUAAAUUUAUGUGUCUCUAAAAAUUGAAGUACGAAGUGGGAUAGAUUAUUUGUACCUGGUUGGUAGUUGCAGUGAUGAUGCUGAUGGGGAGAGUGAACACAAAGGCCAUGGCGCAAGCAAAGAGGAGGCCCCACCAUGGAAGUUGAAUUUGGUCCUUCAACACAGUGCACAGAAUCAGGGAGAUCACAACUGUCACCAGCAGCAGUAAAUAGAACCACCAGCUGGGUAUGUCUUCAUACUUCCUCAUUAACCUCGUGUGGAUGUCCACUUUUCCUUUAUUAUACGAAGCUCGGUACCGAUUGUAUAUUUCUCUGGAAAAGUUUCGCUUUAGAUCGUGAGUGACAUAACUUACUCGAAUCUCUUAAAAAAGUAAAAUAGUUCUUGCUGAGGAAUAAGAGGAUUACAUCUUUGGGCCGAAUGAUUUUGCAAUUGCACUUUGUGACAAUCGCAUGUUUCUCUAAGAAAAUUGGUAUUUUUUGGGACCUAAAUAUCAGAAUUCAACUAAAAUGGCUCCGGCAAUCAAAAUGGUACUAGUUUGCACCGAUUUUACAUUGCAUUGCUCUGUUCUACGUGGAACAUAGCUUCCAAUGUGUGCGUACUUAGAGAGACAGAGCGGCAAUUUGGCGGAGUAACGUGAGAUAGGUACAGUCACAUAAAAUCAGAGCAUGUAGUAGUAGGUUAUUACCUUCCAUAGAACAAAGCAACAUGAGUUAGCGUAGCCGCAAUGGUCGCGAAUCCGAGGCCGUAGGUUAUAGCAAAGAACAAACUCAGGUUUAUCCUCCCCUGCUUACCGUACGCAGUCAUGUCGAUCUCAAACUUGUUGUUGACGAUGGCGUUGAUAUCAUACGGCUGGCCAGCAGCCGUGAACAAAUCCGAGGAGAAAAUUGGGAAAGUCUUUGCAUUGUAGAGGUUGAACCCCCAGUAUGCCACCGGCAUGACUACGUAGAGGAUCAAGAGAUAGCCGACGAAGAUAUUGACGAUGGCGAAGAAGGGGGUGAUUAACGGGCUGAAGAGGUAGGAGGCGACGGUGCUCCAGUCGAGGGUGAAAGCACCGAUGCCGAGCCCGUUCAUGCCGGAGCCGAGCUGUUGCGCCGUUACGGACUUGGGCCAGGCCCAGCAGACCCACGAGAUGCUCGUAAUGGUCGGGAAGAGGUAGCCCGGAACGACGUACCACGAGAAGCUGCAGAUCAGAACGAUGACGAAGAAUUUGGCCCGAGACAUGCGGCGGUCUUCUUUCUCGUGUAAAGCCCUGCAGAUGAAGUGAUCAUCGUUAUCCAUAACAUAAUUUGUAUGUCAUGAGCAUUCUAGGAAUAAAGGAGGUCCGAAUUGUUCGUAUAUUUCCUCCUCUUUGUUUUAGGUAGAAUUGUUAGUAUUCACGUAGUUGGUAACUUGGUAUGAAUAAUUGGAAAACAAACAUAUAAAAAUAUUAGAGAAAAAGAGAGAAACAAUAGAGAAUUUCUCUUAAAAAUAUAGAAAAUUUUCGAUACUUGUGUUUAACUAUUAAGAUUCUUCCUCAGUGACCUUAGAAGUGUUGACCAAUGUUGUACCCAGAAUCUGUAGCAAAUUAAGGUGGAAUGUAAAGAGGACUAUGGCUGGUGUGGCGGAAAAGUAAUUAAGAUAUCGUUUGGUUCGGGGAUAAGCAAAAAAUGACUAUUUUAAAGAUAGAUAUAAAUUGAGGUAUAAGCGGUGAUUAGAUCAAUUUUGUAUUUGGAUGAAAAAUUAGAUUAUUUCUGGGAAUAAAAAAAAUAGCGUUUAGUUAGAUAAGAUGAAAGAUGAAAUAAGAAGGAUAGAGGGUUUUAUAAAUAAAAAGUGAUGAUAUUAUCCUCUUAUUAUAUUUGAAUUUAAAUUUUUAAAAUUUUAAAUUUAUAUUUUUAAAUUUAAAAAUUUAACUUUGAAAUUUAAAAAUUUGAAAUUUAAAAUCUCAAAUUUUAAAUUCAAAAUUUUAAAUUUUAAAAUUCAAACUUUAAAUUUAAGAUCAAAUUUAAAUUUGAAAAAUAUAAAAUAUAAAAUUUUAAAUUUCAAAAAUUUAAAAUAUCAAAAUUUAAAUUUAAAAUUUAAAAUUAUAAACUUUAAUUUUGAGAUUAUAAAUUAUAAAUUUAAAAUUUAAAAUUUUAAAUUUUAAAUUUUUAAAAUAAGAAUAAGGGCGGGAACAAUUAAUAAAAAUAAUUUAUUAUAAUAAAUUUAUAAAUUUUUUAAAAUUCUACUUAAACUAAAAUUUAAUAAAAAGAAUUUAUUAUAAUAUUUAAAUAUAAUUUAUUAUAAAUUUUAUUAUAAUAUUUAAAUAUAAAUAAUAUGUAUUAAUAUAGUACAAUUAAUAAUUUUAUAAUAAAAAUAAUGUAUUAUAAUAUAUAAUAUAUUAUAUUUAUAUAAUUUAGUUUUAAUUCAAUUUAUAAUUUUAAUUAAAGUUUGAAAUUAAGCAUUGCAAUAGCACUAUUCUACCAAAAUGGUGGAAUAGCAAAUUUUUUGCUAUUUCGGAAUAAUCAGGAAUAACAAAGUUUGACCGAAAUAAAAUAUUCCGGCUAAAUUUCAUGUCAUUUGGCGGAAUAGCGGGGAUAACGAAAUUAUCUCCGCUCAGGGCCUAAGUAAAUAAAUACCUGUUAAAAGUGAAAAUUUUAAAAAUUUACGGACACCCAGAUAAAUUUGUUAAAUGCUAGGUAGGUGACAAGUCAAUUGUCAUAUGACUAGGAUCUUUCGCCCAGUAAAUUACUACAGAACCAAAGUCAAACAUUUAUUUAGUACAUUGAAGAAUGAAAAGAUGCCAUCCAGUGACAGGGAAUUAAUGCUGAGUAGGGACAUUUAAACGUAGCAAAAUCCUCUCCUUAUAGUCGCCCUAUAAGAAUCUUCAAUCGAUGCAAAUGGUCCAUAAAUUCCGGCGAAUGGACUUUUUUUUUGCAACACUGACUCUCAAAAUGCUUUAGCUAAUUUUAUGGAUUUGAAUUAUGUUUAGCAUUGUGAGGCCGCAAUGAGGCACUAAUCCUCCAAGGAAUUCAACAAAUCAUGACAAUGGAGAAACUAUUCCCAGUUUGAAAGGUCGAUGUAGCGCGUAGAUUCUAUAGAAAAGCCACAAUUAGGUGGCCCUUCUAAAGCAUUAAUUUCACACGUACCAUCUCCACGGGUUCUGGAGACUCAUAUUACAAGAAUUUUGUAACGCAGUUAUUACACAUGGAUGCAAGUUAAAUCAAACAACAACUAUGCAUCUUAAUCAAGGAGUAGAUAUGAACUGUACUCUUUUAAGCAGAAGAAGUAUAAUAAUUGUGAUAGCCAAAGAAAUGAAGAGAACGUACGUAAUGCUUUAAAAAGUUGCACGACAAAGCGAUGGCCGAACAAAAAGCUUUUUCCUUCUACGUUGUAAAGAUAGGAAGAGAAAUACUUUACAUAAAGUUUGGUGGAAAUAUACACAGCAACAAUUCUGAGUUGGAUAAACCAAACGUACAGCUUUUGUCACGUUGCUCAAAAAGCCAGCACAAUUCUUCUCGCGUUUUUUUUAAGUAAAAAAAGCGCAAAACUUUUAUCUGUGUCGAUGAUUUGUUUGUCGUGAAAAAAUCUAUAUACGGUGGGGGUUGUGCGGUUUGGUUUUCUUUUUUUUUUUUUGUUUUUUUUUGUUUUUCCAUCCCAUCUCUCUCUCUCUCUCUCUCUCAGAGGUAGCGGGGUUAGGCUUUCAUUUUUCUAAUUUAAUCUAAUUUUUUCCCUCAAUUUUUCAUUAUAAAAAUUUAAAAUAUAUAAUUUUUACACAUAUUUUUUUAUAUAAUUUAUAUUGUUUAAAUAUAAAUUUUAAUUUUAUAACUGAGCACUUAAAAGAUGAAAAAAAUUGAUGAAGUUGAACUUAACUACUUAUAUUAAUAAUUGAUAAUUACGAGAAUUAUAUAAAGUGUACUAAAUCUAUAAAGAUAAACGACGCAUUCANGAAGGUAAAGAUAAACGACGCAUUCAAAUUAAUCAAAUCAAACAAAUUGAAAGUUGGAUAGUAAAAAUAAAAUUUUGAAUCGAUUCAAAAUGGUCCAUGGUUAGAAAAAUUUUAUAUGCUUUUAUGUUGAUUUUAGUUUCAAAUUUCAAAAUUAUAUUUAUAAUUUGAUGAGCAAUUAACUUUACCUUCAGAAUCUUCCGAAAUAUUUAAAAUGUGAUUGUUCGACUUUUAAUUUUUAAUAAUUAAGCUUUCUAAAUUUUAUUAAAUAAUUUAAAAGAUUCUUUCCUUGAAUGAAGUUACUAAUUAAAUAAAAAUAAAAUUAAUCGGUGCUCCGCCCUUACUUCAUAUGAAAAAAAAAAUAAAAUACAAAAAGAAUAAAUUAUAUAUUUAGUUCAAACUAUAGGAUAUGUAACACUUAGUUAUCAAAUCUGAAUGCAUUAUAAUUUUUGGUUCAAACUAUUAGAUUCAGCACUUUACUUCUCAAACUUCAAUUAAUUCUACUGAGCAAACGCUAUGGCAGCAACAGAAGCAGCAACAAGAACAACAACAAAAAGGGAAAAAUUAACGAUAGCUUUGAGAGUUAACUAACCGGAAGAGCGAGACCUGCACGAGGUUACUCGGCCACCACAUGUGCGCCGGCUCCACCACGUACUUCCUCAUCAUCAUUAUAAGUAGUUAGGGUAGAUAUAUAAAUAAAACAUAAAAAUUAAUAAAGAUAUAUAUCGAAUUAAAUAAAUAUUUUGUUAUAAAAAUAAUAUAUAAUAUAAUAAAAUAAUAUAUAUAAUAAUUAGUAAAGGUAUACUGAUUAAACCACACUAAUCUCUCGAAAGGAGAAACCGCUCUUGGUUUGAACCCGAUGAGUGUGACGGUUUUUUCCGCAAGAGCAGUUGAGCGUAGAGAUCGGCAGGUUUAAGAUCGGUAGGUUUAGGCAGGGGAGAGGAGAGGUGAGGGAGAGCUUAGCGAACUUCACCCCGAGGGGAAGCAUUUAGGGUUAAUGGAGGGUGGUUUGGGGGGAGGAGGUCCAGAGGAGGAAGAGGCCGCCGCCGCCGCCGCCGCUGUUACCUCUAGCUGCGCCGCGCCUAGUUGGCCUUCUUCUGCCGCCGCCUCCUGUUCCUCCUCCUCCUCCUCCUCCUCCUCCACAGCGGCUAGCUCCUCCACGCCGAGUGCCACUGCUUGCGCCUGCUGGGCAGGGAGGGGCACACCUGCAAGGCGUACACCAAGUAGCCGUGCGACCGGACGCGCGAGUACAGCAAGGACUUGGUCAAGAAGCGGAUGGCGUGGCUCGGGGAGCACUAGUGCGUCUAGUGGCAGGUCCAGCGGAGGGAGGGGCAGCCGGCUAAGGACCGGUUGCAGGAGGGGUGAGCGUUCAAGGCGUAGGGCCCCAAGCCGCUGGCCGUCAAGAGCGACUUAGGCCCCGGGAAGUUGUACUUCCUCGUGCAGGAGUAGAGGUAGAAGCGGUUACGGCCGAUGCGGAAGCCGUUGCCGGGCCGGAUGCGGCAGCCGUAGUAGCUGUAGUAGUCCCGGAAGAUGUUCGCGUUCUAGAGCAAGCAGCGGCCAACCGAAGAGUAGUAGUGGUGUGUCCACGAGCGAGCGAGGUAACGGACCAAAAGAGGAAUUAAUAUAUAUAAUUCAUAAUAUUAAUAACAAUAAUAAUAAAUUAAUUAAUAUACGCGCGUAACACUAACACCCCUAUACCUAAAAUCCACAACCCAAUGCCCACCCGGCCCAANGCGGUUAUAAUUGGCGGGGAGAAGGGGAAUCUCGCGUUGUUAAAAUUACGAGAAUGCCCCUGUGGGAAUAUCUUCGGGGGAAUGGCGUAGCGUAUCGGGACGGUGUUUUUCAGAGCGGCCACGGAGUGAACGGUUUGAUCCGCCGUCGCCCGUCGACUAAGGAGAAGCGAUCCAGUUUUUCUACUAAUAUAAUAUAAUAUAAUAUAAUAUAAUAAUAAUAUAUAAUAUAAUAUAUAAGGCUGUUUUGGUAAUAAGUUAAAAGCGUAUUUUGAAGUGAUGUAUACUAUGCAAAUAAGUUUAGAAAUUUAAAUCUGGUUUUCAAACUGUUUAAAUUAACGAGCGUCGCGAGAUACUAAGUCCGGAAAGAUACAUUAAUGUUGCAAUUUCCUUCGGCGGAGACUCUUAAUAAAGUAAAAAUCUACGGAUAUUAUUCUUUUGGUUGAGAGCUGGUUUUAUUUUUACUGGAUUUCAAAUUUGAAAACUCGACUUGGCUACUGAUCAUAUAGUAUUUUGCCAUUUGAGUAUCCAUUUUUCUAAAAAAUAACUUUUAUCGAUAUUUAAUAUGCUGAUAUUUUAUUUAAAAAAAUAACUGAUUUAAGAUGCACUACAAGAUACACAGAUAAAACCAAAAUUUCUAAAAAAUAAGUUAUAUAGAUAUUUAAUUUGCUGAUAUUUUUAUUAAAACAAAUAACUGAUUUAAGAUGUAUACUAUAAGAUACUCAAGAUAAAAUCAAAACUAAUAAAAUCCAACUAGACCGACCGUUUCUAGAGUAAGUGGCAAAGGGCUUGGUGGUUGGUACCCGAAACCCAAAUUCGAAUCCUAGUUGAUUUACAUUUCCAGCUACGUUUAAUUCUAAAUGAAAUAAACGAAGGGGUAGCGUGCUACCUAUCUCUAAAAAAAUAAAAUAAAAUAAAAUAAAAUCCAACUAGUAAGGUGAUAGAGUAAUCCUGUUAAAAACUACAACCAGCCACAGCCAGCCCUUUUGGCCAGCGUUAGACGGUGGUACUCGGUUUUCCGGAUUCAAAUCCUAGUGUGAGCAAAAAAAAAAACUAAAAAAAAAAAAAAAACUUCAUUUGUAUAUAGUUCUAUUCACAGAUUUACCAAAAUUUAUUCAGGUCCAGCACCACAGGUCGUCUUUGCGCUUGCUGCAUCACUUUACCUGGGGUAGGCCGAAUACAACCCAACAGCAAAACGACACUCUCGUUAGCCUUUACCCCUUUAGUAAAUUUAUCUUUUUUUAAAAAAAAGAGAAAAUCAGUAAAAUUUAAANAAGUACAAGUUUCUUUUCUCACUCACUGGUUAGCUAAAACAUUAUAUUUUCAAACAAUUUUAAUUAGGGAGGACACUAAAUAAUAAUUUAUAAUACUUUUUCUUCACCGAUUAGAAGAACAUGCAUAAAAAAACUUCAAGCUAAACCCUCCUGCUUCUCGCCCCUGUUGUAAACUGCUGACGCACUGUAGGCUUAUAAUGCAAAAAAUAUUCACCUUUGUUUUGAUUUUUUUUUUUUAAAAAAAAUGUAGCAUGCUACCCGCUUUAUUUAUUUAGCAAAUAAAUUUGACUACAGGGGUUGAGGCAAUGUGGCCUCCUCCAAAAAUAUUAAAGGUAAAGAAAACAGAAAAUACAAAUAAAAGCAAAUAGAAAAAGUGUAGAAAAAUUUCUACUUCUACUUGUCACUCAAGAUCAAAUAACUAAAAGCUGCAAAAUUCAACUCAUUUUUAAAAAUAUUAGUUAUCGCUACAUGGUUUCCCAUUCUUCUUUUCCUAAUAAUAGAUAGAUGCGAUUAAUUGUAGAUCAUAUUGCCAGGGGCCCCAGCGUAGAAGAUGCAUGAACUAUACAUAUACUGAAGUCCCUGAAUGUGAACAUACAUGUGAGUAUGAAAAGAAAAAAAAUGGAUGGAUGGAUGGAUGGAUGAAGUCAAUAAUGCGCAGUUUUGAAAAAGAAAUGACGGACAGAUAAUUAAUAAAGCCACAUUGGAAACGCCCACGCUGCCGGCAGGCGCCGUCGGGGGAAGGACAGCGACAGGGAAAAUGUCCCAUUUCAAGCUAGAAUAAUAUUCUAUGAGAAAUACCGUUCAUCCCCAGAGUCAGUGACAAAAAACUUAGUGGUUGAUAUUCGAGUUCUCGAAUUUAAAUUCUAAUUGAUUUAUAUUUUAAACUAAAUUUAUUUCUAAAUAAAAUAAAUAAAUCGGAUAAUUUGCUACCUAAUCUCUUAAAAAAAUAUUUCUAUUAGAAAUUGUUUGGAAUAAUUUUAAGCUUUGGACUAGUUAGAAAUUACAAUGGAUCAUCUAUUAAAAGGCUUAAAAUUGCCAUCAACGCAAGUAAUUAUUGCACCCAAUCUUUUCAGAUUUUUCUUACAGAAUUAAAAGGCCAAAGGUUUUUUUUCUUUUUUUUUGAGAGAUAGGUAGCACGCUAUCCGCCUCGUUUAUUUCAUUUAGAAAUAAACUUAGUUAGAAAUAUGAAUCAACUAGGAUUCGAACUUGGAUCUCAGGUACCAACCGCCAAGCCCUUUGCUACUUGCUCUAGAAACAAUCGGUUCAAAAGGGCAAAGGUUAAGAUUCAAAUGAUCAUUAUAAAGUCUGUUCAAAUGUCAAAUUGUCAAGUAGUUCGAAUGGCAAGUUUGAAUUUUUCUCUUUUUGUUUAAAUUUUAGAUUAGAAACUAAUAUAUAUAGCCGGGCAUGGUUUUUCAUUAUUGCCCAUUAAUUUUUUUUUGAGAGAGAUAAAUAGCACGCUAUCCGCUUCAUUUAUUUUAUUUAAAAAUAAACUCAUUUGAAAAUACGAAUCAAUUAGAAUUCGAAUUUAAAAUCUGAAGUAUUAAGUUAUCAACACCAAAUCUGUUAUUAUUGGAUUAGAAUACUUUAUAUGUGGAAAAGUAAACAGCUGGGAUCACGUGAGGAGGGAGCGUCGUAUGCGCUGGAGAUUCAGCUUUGGGAACCGGAAUCUCGGGAAUCCCAAUCGGGCGCCAAAAGGUCGGAGCAGGAUCACGCAACCACACACACCCCGCCACUGCGGGCCCACCGCUGGUGGGGUCCAUCCCUCUUUUUGCCAGCCGGCGAUCCACCCGUCGCUUUCGGACCCGGAAAGCGACCCGAUCCUGUGUUGGCUCAGCCGAGUCGAAUCGGCCUAAUGAAAUCCAAGUUAGUUAGAAGGACCACAUCUCUCUUAUAGGAUAACAGUGGAAAAAAAAAAAUUUAAGGGAAAACUUCAAAUACUCCCCUUGUGAUUUUAUUUUUUUUCACUUUAUUACUCUGUGGUUUAAAGUGUAUCAAGUUAGUACCUGUGGUUUCAUACUUUCUCACUUUAGUACCCUGUGGUUUAAAGUGUAUCAAGUUAGUGCCUUGUGAUUUUGUACUUUCUCACUUUAGUACCUGUGGUUUAAUAUUUAAUUAAGAAAAAAAUAAAACCACAAGGUACUAACUUGAUACAAAAUAAACCACAGAGUCCUAACUUGAUACACUUUAAACCACAAGAUACUAAAGUGAGAAAGUGCGAAACCAAAGGGUACUAACUUGAUACACUUUAAAUCAUAUGGUACUAAAAUGAAAAAAUGCAAAACCACAAGGGGGGUUUUUGAAGUUUUUCUAAAAAUUAAAAAUAAAGUUAUAACUUUAAAGAAAAAAAAGUUUUUAAAUUUAUUUAAAAAGUAUUAGAAUAUUUGGUACAUAAUGAAUAUGAUAAACCACCGCUUAGUUGAGAUAAUAUGAUAUACUGUCUAAUCUAAAAAUAAUAAAAUUUUUUUUUUUUUGAGGAAAAGAUAGCAUGCUAAUAAUAAAAUUUUAGAAAUAAAAAUUAAACUCCUAACACUUAAUCGUACAGAAAAAAAAAAGGAUAAAUUAUCAUUAUAUAGCUUACUUCGACAUCAAAAUAGGAUCUUAACUAUAGAUAAAUUAUUACAGGAAAGCAAAGGUCUUUCUAUCAAAAACCAAUUUAUUAGAUAUGUUUUAAGAUAUUUUUUAUUUAAAUAAAAAACUAAAUAUCUAUUUUAUUUAAUCAAAUAAAUUUUUUUUUUUUAUAUUAUUGUCAGGAUUUAUGUUCCGGAUACAGGUAACAAAUUCUUAAUAAUUCAGUGGCCAAGAUUUAUGUUGAUGCUUAGUCACAAGUAAAAUAAGUUUUUGAAAGCGCUCUUAGUUCGGUUUGACAAAAAGCAUGUCUCCAAAAUAUGAUGUAACUAGAAUUUUACCUCUCCCUUUCAAUUCUUUAAAAUAGUCAGAAAAGAGAAAGACAAAAUAGUACUGAACCUCAUAAAAAAGUCAAUAGAUUUGAGAAUGAAUUUGUAAAAACAGAAAUAAAAUUAAAAUAUGUAUCCAGCUUAGAGCAAGCAAGCUCAUGAAAUAUGCUAUAAGGAUUCAAAAAGAUAUCCCGAAACAUAAUUGAUAAGUUAUAUUUUAAAAUUAUCCACAUGCACGGAAACAAAUAGCAAGAUAAAAAAAACAUUUGCAGCACUAGAGUUGACUUGUCAAGUAAACUCUCGAUACCAUUCCCGAGUUAUAUAUCAUUGGUAGUUUUAAUUUUUUAAGACAACCUAGUACCUACAUAACAUUUAAUAGGCUCUAUUAUUUGACAAAAUUAUAAUUCAACUAGUAAGUUAUAAUAAUGGUAGUACAAAUGCAAGUUUGCUGUGGUCCUCGAUCCAUAGUACCAAGUUGUUAUGCAGUCUAAUCAGAAUUGUAAUUUAUGGAAACGUAUUUAUGAAAAAGUUGUUCCGCUGUUUAAUCACACGUCUAAUCUAGAAACGUAUUCAUUUUAUAAGGUACUGGUCGAGAAUAAGUUAAAAAUGAAUAUUUCAGAAAUAAGUAUAAAUUGAGGUAUAAGCGGGAAUUAGAUUAAUUUUGCGUUUACAUGAAAAUUGGGUUAUUUCUGGAAAUAAAAAAAAAUAGCGUUUGGUUAUGUAAGAUGGAAUAAGAAUUAAAUUGAAUAGUUAUAAAUAAAAAAUAAUAAUAUUAUCUCUUUUUUUAUAUUAGAAUUUAAAUUUUCAUAUUUUAUAUUUAUAUUUUAAAAUUUUAAAUUUCAAAAUUUGAAAUUAAAAUUUAANUUAAAUUUAAUAAAAAGAAUUUAUUAUAAUAUUUAAAUAUAAUUUAUUAUAAAUUUUAUUAUAAUAUUUAAAUAUAAAUAAUAUGUAUUAAUAUAGUACAAUUAAUAAUUUUAUAAUAAAAAUAAUGUAUUAUAAUAUAUAAUAUAUUAUAUUUAUAUAAUUUAGUUUUAAUUUAUUUUAUAAUUUUAAUUAAGUUUAAAUUUAAGCAUUGGAAUAGCACUACUCCACCAAAAUGGUGGAAUAGUAAAAAGCUUGUUAUUCCGGGAUAACCGGGAAUAGCAAGCUUUGACCGAGAUAAAAUAUUCUGGUAAAAAAUGACUCCGUUUGGCCCCCGAACCAAAUGGGGCCAAAGUCUAAAAUUUCUUGCAUAAAAUGAUCUAAAAUAUAACUUUCACGAAAUGUCUGAUUGUUUACAUUACAGAGCUACAUGAUGGUAGAUUGAGAUGUAUUUUCAUUAAUCAGUUACAUUGCCUUCACAAAAAUAACUGGAGUUCUCAUUUUCAGAUAGUAUAGCUUCUUUUAUUCAUGACAUAUGCAUAACAGCUUUCAGUUAUAAGAAUCACAUGCUUUAAAAUAAGAUAAAUAAAUAUAUAUAAAUUUGAAGUUCAAGGUCAAUAUUUUUGACUUGUAUAAGGAGUGCUGCCGGAUUGAAACUGCAUGCAUGUGCCAACUGAGUGUGUCGGCAUUCCAGCAGUAAUAGACGAAAAUUUUGGAUUUAGAUUCUAGUCACUAGUACUGCCAGCUGUCUGAGAUGUAAUUUUUAGUUUGGCGGCCUGGAAUAGGAUCGGGCCCCACCGCCCCAGAAUGCCGAGCAACAAAUUGAGAAGUUCUUCUACAAUAGGGACACGUUUGUUUCAACGUAAGUAAAUUUGGGGUAGAAAUGGAUUUUGGGUUGAAGUGGAAUUGGGGUGAAAAUUAGUUUAUUUCUGCUGUUUGUUUCAACGUAACCACGCAUGUGAGCCUUUCUAUGUAAAUCCCUCAAUUUAGAUGGCUCUCUGUUUAAUGUUCGAUCCCUUUCACGUAAUCGUAAAAAGAAUAUUACACACACCACCAUAAUAACAAAUCCGACUUAAUUAGCACGAUGUAAGUUCAAAAGGAAAUCUCUAUUGUCCAUCUGAAACUGAAAAAGAUUCAAAAAAGAAUUAUAAAAAAUUACUAAUAUAUGUGCCAAAUAAACUAAACUAAAAGUUUUCUACAUUAAAAAGAAACUAUAUAAUUUUCAUCAUGUGUUAAUAAUCAAAAAACAAACGUGGCAUUAGUGCUAAUAAUUUAAAUCCAAACACAGUUUGUGCAUCAUGUGUUAAUAAUCCAAAUCCAAACACAGUUUGUGCAUUUGAAUACAACAAAGCAAAUUUUCUGCUUGACUCUACAUGGUAACAUCAUGUAUACAAAGUUAAACCAUUUCACAAUACAUGGUUAAACCAUUUCACAACACCAUUGCAAAACCAAGAUUGAAAGCUAGAAGAAUCAAUUCUUUUUCCUUCUUUUCUUCUGAUGGAGAAUCAAUACAAUAAUCUGAACAUGAAUCAGCAUCAUGAAAGAAAAAGUUUCCAAAGGAAUUGAAACAAGAGGAUGAAAAAGGACAUAUUCUAAUCCCCCACCCCUACCCACACCCCACCGCACCCUAAAUUUUUUCAUCGGAAAAAAAAAAAAAGCCACCAUCAUCAGAAAUAAAGGGCCAAAAAAUUAGAAAAUGCAGUAAAUAAAAAAAUAUGAUUUGGUACAACACUAAUCUUAAAUCUUUAAUAAUCAGAGCAAAAAAAUAAAAAUAGCAGUAAAUUAAAAAAAAUUGAAACUGCAGUAAAUAAAAAUGUUAAAAAUUGCAAUAAAGAAAAAAAAUAAUAAAAACUGCAGUAAAUCAGAGACGAAAAAAUUUAUUUGUAAACCUUGUCAACUGCGAUAGGGAAAGAGAUGGAAAUGGAAUGCGAGAUCUGAGAUCGAAGAAGAUGAAUGGCUAGAGAGAGAAGAAAGGAUUGAAGAAACAAAAUGAGGGAGAAAUUUUUUUUUUUGUUUUAUGGGGUCUGCUGAGGAAAAAAAAUGGUGAGAGUUGGGUCGGGAGGAGAGGAAAGGGUAGAGAAUAGAGAGAGUUGGGUCGGGAGGAGAGGAGGAGAAGAGGUAAUCCUAACACUCAUGCAUUUUUUUUCAGUUCACCGAAUUUGACUUCGCCCUGUGGGAGGGUGAAGUCAAGUUCAUUAGUUUAGGUGAAGUGGACUUACGGGCAUAAUAACAUUACGGUGAACCAAACAACGCAAAUGGUCAAUUUUCACCGAAAACUACUUUUCCCUUCCCACUUCCACCCCACUUACGUGCAAACAAACAGACCCUAGAGUUUGAUUUCCAAGGUGUGAUCAGUUCAUGAGCAGUUCUAAAUGUUCCAAUUAAGUAUGUAUGUAUUUAUUAUUAUUAAAAGUAAAAAUAUAUUCCCUGGAGUCGCAGCUUUGUUUUUUUUUUUAAAAAAAAAAACAAAACAAAAGGUGAGUAGCUUUCAUACUUUAGAACCCCUCUUUAAACACCUUUUGUGUAUAUUUCAAAAGUCUUAAUUUAAAUUUAAAUUCACAUGAAAGCAUGAAAUUCUAUGUUUUCAAAAGUCAAACUACGAGUCUAAAAUUUUUACACAUGAAAGAACAAAAUCUCAUAUUUUUUCUCAAUUUAUGGAUGGAAGUAUGAAAUCCCAUAUUUCAAAGUCAAAAUUUUGAGUCUCAAUUCUAAAUACCUAUGAAAGUACAAAAUCCCGUGUUCAGGAUAAAACUAUCUGUCAUUUUACCAUUGGAUUAUACCCCCAAGGAUAUACAAGUUGUUCAAAAUAAUAUUAUUUUAAAUGAUUUUUUUUAAAUUUAAAGUGCUUGCAUCAGUCUAAGUUGGUGUAAAUUUUGCCAAAUUAUAUCCCAUCUUUAUAGAGAGAGAACUAUCAAUAGCUAAAAUAUUUUGUGCUCAUUUUUCUCUAAAAUUUAUAGAUUUUCUUUUUCAAUUUUAACUGAAAAUAGGAUAUGAAUACAAUUAUUUUAUACAUUCCUAUAAAAAGUUAUCUAACUGGUUUNNNNNNNNNNNNNNNNNNNNNNNNNNNNNNNNNNNNNNNNNNNNNNNNNNNNNNNNNNNNNNNNNNNNNNNNNNNNNNNNNNNNNNNNNNNNNNNNNNNNNNNNNNNNNNNNNNNNNNNNNNNNNNNNNNNNNNNNNNNNNNNNNNNNNNNNNNNNNNNNNNNNNNNNNNNNNNNNNNNNNNNNNNNNNNNNNNNNNNNNNNNNNNNNNNNNNNNNNNNNNNNNNNNNNNNNNNNNNNNNNNNNNNNNNNNNNNNNNNNNNNNNNNNNNNNNNNNNNNNNNNNNNNNNNNNNNNNNNNNNNNNNNNNNNNNNNNNNNNNNNNNNNNNNNNNNNNNNNNNNNNNNNNNNNNNNNNNNNNNNNNNNNNNNNNNNNNNNNNNNNNNNNNNNNNNNNNNNNNNNNNNNNNNNNNNNNNNNNNNNNNNNNNNNNNNNNNNNNNNNNNNNNNNNNNNNNNNNNNNNNNNNNNNNNNNNNNNNNNNNNNNNNNNNNNNNNNNNNNNNNNNNNNNNNNNNNNNNNNNNNNNNNNNNNNNNNNNNNNNNNNNNNNNNNNNNNNNNNNNNNNNNNNNNNNNNNNNNNNNNNNNNNNNNNNNNNNNNNNNNNNNNNNNNNNNNNNNNNNNNNNNNNNNNNNNNNNNNNNNNNNNNNNNNNNNNNNNNNNNNNNNNNNNNNNNNNNNNNNNNNNNNNNNNNNNNNNNNNNNNNNNNNNNNNNNNNNNNNNNNNNNNNNNNNNNNNNNNNNNNNNNNNNNNNNNNNNNNNNNNNNNNNNNNNNNNNNNNNNNNNNNNNNNNNNNNNNNNNNNNNNNNNNNNNNNNNNNNNNNNNNNNNNNNNNNNNNNNNNNNNNNNNNNNNNNNNNNNNNNNNNNNNNNNNNNNNNNNNNNNNNNNNNNNNNNNNNNNNNNNNNNNNNNNNNNNNNNNNNNNNNNNNNNNNNNNNNNNNNNNNNNNNNNNNNNNNNNNNNNNNNNNNNNNNNNNNNNNNNNNNNNNNNNNNNNNNNNNNNNNNNNNNNNNNNNNNNNNNNNNNNNNNNNNNNNNNNNNNNNNNNNNNNNNNNNNNNNNNNNNNNNNNNNNNNNNNNNNNNNNNNNNNNNNNNNNNNNNNNNNNNNNNNNNNNNNNNNNNNNNNNNNNNNNNNNNNNNNNNNNNNNNNNNNNNNNNNNNNNNNNNNNNNNNNNNNNNNNNNNNNNNNNNNNNNNNNNNNNNNNNNNNNNNNNNNNNNNNNNNNNNNNNNNNNNNNNNNNNNNNNNNNNNNNNNNNNNNNNNNNNNNNNNNNNNNNNNNNNNNNNNNNNNNNNNNNNNNNNNNNNNNNNNNNNNNNNNNNNNNNNNNNNNNNNNNNNNNNNNNNNNNNNNNNNNNNNNNNNNNNNNNNNNNNNNNNNNNNNNNNNNNNNNNNNNNNNNNNNNNNNNNNNNNNNNNNNNNNNNNNNNNNNNNNNNNNNNNNNNNNNNNNNNNNNNNNNNNNNNNNNNNNNNNNNNNNNNNNNNNNNNNNNNNNNNNNNNNNNNNNNNNNNNNNNNNNNNNNNNNNNNNNNNNNNNNNNNNNNNNNNNNNNNNNNNNNNNNNNNNNNNNNNNNNNNNNNNNNNNNNNNNNNNNNNNNNNNNNNNNNNNNNNNNNNNNNNNNNNNNNNNNNNNNNNNNNNNNNNNNNNNNNNNNNNNNNNNNNNNNNNNNNNNNNNNNNNNNNNNNNNNNNNNNNNNNNNNNNNNNNNNNNNNNNNNNNNNNNNNNNNNNNNNNNNNNNNNNNNNNNNNNNNNNNNNNNNNNNNNNNNNNNNNNNNNNNNNNNNNNNNNNNNNNNNNNNNNNNNNNNNNNNNNNNNNNNNNNNNNNNNNNNNNNNNNNNNNNNNNNNNNNNNNNNNNNNNNNNNNNNNNNNNNNNNNNNNNNNNNNNNNNNNNNNNNNNNNNNNNNNNNNNNNNNNNNNNNNNNNNNNNNNNNNNNNNNNNNNNNNNNNNNNNNNNNNNNNNNNNNNNNNNNNNNNNNNNNNNNNNNNNNNNNNNNNNNNNNNNNNNNNNNNNNNNNNNNNNNNNNNNNNNNNNNNNNNNNNNNNNNNNNNNNNNNNNNNNNNNNNNNNNNNNNNNNNNNNNNNNNNNNNNNNNNNNNNNNNNNNNNNNNNNNNNNNNNNNNNNNNNNNNNNNNNNNNNNNNNNNNNNNNNNNNNNNNNNNNNNNNNNNNNNNNNNNNNNNNNNNNNNNNNNNNNNNNNNNNNNNNNNNNNNNNNNNNNNNNNNNNNNNNNNNNNNNNNNNNNNNNNNNNNNNNNNNNNNNNNNNNNNNNNNNNNNNNNNNNNNNNNNNNNNNNNNNNNNNNNNNNNNNNNNNNNNNNNNNNNNNNNNNNNNNNNNNNNNNNNNNNNNNNNNNNNNNNNNNNNNNNNNNNNNNNNNNNNNNNNNNNNNNNNUUUUUUGAAAAAAUAUAUAUUUUUGAAUUUCCAAACAAACUCUUCGAAGUAGAAUGGUUUCCGAAAGUAUGAACCCUUUUUUUAAAAAACCUUUUUAUACCUUUUUUUUAAUUUUUCACAUGUCUGGUUAAAAAAAAAAUAAAAAUUCUCAUUAAUUUAUAAAAAAUAGUUUUUAUUUUUUUAAAAUUAAAAAUUAAAAAUAUUUUAUUUAUAAUAUAUGAAAAAUUAUUUUUUUUAGAACCAAAAAAAUGAAAAAUUAAAAGAAAAAAUUGACCGUCCUGAUGCAAGUGGCAAAAAAUUUUUGCGAUCGAUCCCCGAGUUGCCAAAUUUGAAUGCUAAUUAAUUAUAUUUUCAGUUAACCCUAUUUUUUUAAAAAUAAACGAAAUGAACAGCAAUAGAGUAUAUUAUUUCAAAAAAAAAAUUUUGUUGGUCACAUGUCCUAUUAAUAUGACUUAAUCAAUCACGAUAUAUAUAGUAAUAAAUUCAUCAAUCCCAUCAUAUAUAUUUAUUUUUGUAUUUUAAUUAUUUCUAUAUAUAGCUUAAAUUUAUUUAAAACAAUAUUUUAUUAUAUAUUAUAUUAUUAUUAUCUAUUUAUUAAUAUUUCAUAUGACUAAUUUGGUGUGAUUAGAGAGCUUUCUCUUUGGCGAGAACCAAACUAUGGGCUACUCACACUGCGCAAAAAAGGCGUUCUCGUCAACUCGCAUCUCUAACCGUCCAAAUUCUAGCAUCCAAAUCCGUCCCCUCUCCUCUCCACUCCUCUCGAUCGCUUGAAGUGGGCUCCCUGUUAAAUCCCAAUUACCUCCACCAAACCCCGUCCUCCAGGUUCCUCCUCUCUCGCGGCGGCGGCGGCGGCGCACGAGUGGGCGAUCGAGCGCGGGCGAGUCACCGGAAGAAGACGGGCGGGAGGGACAGAGAGGAGGAGGAGGAGAGGAGGUGUCGCGAUCGAGGGGUGCGGCUCACGUGACGAACGCGGACGACCCGUCCCUCCCCGUGUGGACGUUCCGCAUGUGGUUCAUCGGCACGCUGGCCUGCGCGCUCAUGUCGUUCCUGAACCAGUUCUUCGCCUACCGCACCGAGCCCUCAUCAUCACCCAGAUCACCGUCCAGUCGCCUCCCUCCCGCGGCCCACUUCCUCGCGCCGUCUCCCUCCUCCAAGUUCCGCAUUCCCCGCCUCGGCACCGCGAGUUCUCGCUCAACCCGGGGCCCUUCAACAUGAAGGAGCACGUCCUCAUCUCCAUCUUCGCCAAUGCCGGCUACGCCUUCGGCAACGGAUCCGCCUACGCCGUCGGGAUCGUCAACAUCAUCAGGCCUUCUACAGGCGCAACAUCUCCUUCCUCGCCGGUCUGUUGCUCAUCAUCACCAGCUCAGGUCUCCCUCUUCCCUUCACCCCCCCCCCCCCGCCGCUCGCCCCCGCAAUCCCAUCGAUUUUUUUUUUUUUUUCUAUGUCUAUUCUAUUUUCUUAUUUUAUUAUUAUUAUUUAUUUGGUGUGGCGGUUGAUGAUCUUCUAGUUACUUGUGAGGUUAUUUAUUGUUUGUGGCUUUGUUAAGGUGUUGGGAGUACGAUGGCGCGGCUGAUGCGGAAGUACGUGGUGGAGCCGGCGCACAUGUUGGUGAGCGAGCACGCUCGUCCAUGGUCUUCGCUCUUCCGGUAUGUUCGAAAUUUUCUUUCUUUUCUUUUUCUUUUUUUUUAGCAACUAUGAAAAUUUUGAAUGAUUUUAUGUUUUUUUUCCCCCUAAUUUAGUCUUCCUAUUUUUUUGAAAUUUUAUCAUUGAAUACUAACGGUGCGCUAAUUUGAACAGAUAUGUAAUCAGCAUGAUAAGAUUUUGUACUAACACAUACCAAAUAUGGAAGGACUGCCAGAGUAUGUAAUUAUUUCGCUUCAAAAUGACACAUCUCUCUCCCUCCUAAAAGUGAAAGUGUUUUCUGGCUCCUCAAAAAGAGGCCUCUUACACGGUAAUACAGCUCUUGUGUCACUGUGUUGUGUGGGAUUGAAGAGAAUUUGGAAGAGAACGAUGAUCUUGGAGAGUGUUCAAUCUAGAGAUUUGGAAGAUGACGUAAAUUUGUUCUAGGAUAGGUGGAUGGUUAGGAAUGGAACGCAAUCAAAGAGUACAGGGCUAAUUAGACUAGUAGUCUGCUGGUGGGUUACUUGGGAGGUCAGAAACUAUGCGACUUUUAGGAAGGGUCAGUCGGACCCCAUUCUAGCAGUUUAUAAAAUUAAUUAGUUGAUGAACCUAUGGGACUAAUUUCUCUCGGCAAAUAGGCACUUCUGUAAUCGGUAGCGUUGCUCUUCUCUGAGGCCUACGAUGCCUCAUUCCUAUAGCUUAGCUCAUUAUUCUAAUGAAUGAAGUGGUUAGCGUACCAUCUUUUUCUCAAAAAAAUAAAAACAUGUAAUAUGUUCAUCCUACAAAUUGGGCUCAAGGGAGCCCAAGAUAUCGAUAUUGAGCCGAAGAAAUUAUUUUUUUGUUUUUUUGUUUUUUAUUUUUUAUUUAUUUUUUUGAGAGAUAGGUAACACGUUAUCCGCUCCGUUUAUUUCAAUUAGAAAUAAAUUUAGCUAAAAAUGUGAAUUAACUAGGAUUCGAAUUUAAAAUCUCGGAUAUCAACCAUCAAACCUUUUAUCACUUAUUAUAGGGCAGUCCGUGAAGAAAUUGUUAUAUCUGGCCCAUUCUUAUCCAGAAUUCGAGUAGGAUAUGCGCCAGAUCUUUCCCGUGACUUGAGCCGAACGUAACGCAAUCCGGUACCAAUAUCAACCAUCAAACCUUUUGUCACUUACUACAGGGCAGUCCGCGAAGAAAUUAUUAUAUCUGGCCCAUUCUCAUCCAGAAUCCGAGUAGGAUAUGCGCCAGAUCUUUCCCGUGACUUGAGCCGAACGUAACGCAAUCCGGUACCAAUAUCAACCAUCAAACCUUUUGUCACUUACUACAGAGCAGUCCGCGAAGAAAUUGUUAUAUCUGACCCAUUCUCAUCCAGAAUCCGAGUAGGAAAUGCGCCAGAUCUUUCCCGUGACUUGAGCCGAACGUAACGCAAUCCGGUACCAAUAUCAACCAUCAAACCUUUUGUCACUUACUACAGGACAGUCCGCGAAGAAAUUGUUAUAUCUGGCCCAUUCUCAUCCAGAAUCCGAGUAGGAUAUGCGCCAAAUCUUUCCCGUGACUUGAGCCGAACGUAACGCAAUCCGGUACCAAUAUCAACCAUUAAACCUUUUGUCACUUACUACAGGGCAGUCCGCGAAGAAAUUAUUAUAUCUGGCCCAUUCUCAUCCAGAAUCCGAGUAGGAUAUGCGCCAGAUCUUUUCCGUGACUUGAGCCGAACGUAACGCAAUCCGGUACCAAUAUCAACCAUUAAACCUUUUGUCACUUACUACAGGGCAGUCCACGAAGAAAUUGUUAUAUCUGGUCCAUUCUCAUCCAGAAUCCGAGUAGGAUAUGCACCAGAUCUUUUCCGGCGCAGAUCUUUUUCGUGACUUGAGCCGAACGUAACGCAAUCCGGUACCAGCCCGAAAUCAAAUCGAUAUGGGGGAAAAGAAACGAAUCUCGACCGUCCUUUCAACCGGAUCGGAACUUCUUUUUUCCCUAUAAAUACACGCUCAAACCCUUGUAAAUAAACGCAGCACACGUACCCUACUACUAUCUCUUUCUCUCUUCAUCGUUCUCUCUCUCUCUCGCCUCGUUCACAAAUCUCUCGCAAUUCUCAAGCUCUUGAAAGGUAUUUUGUUCCUCUUCUGAUCUCAAGAUCCUUGAUAGAUGGAGAUCUAGAGUUCUUCUGUUCUCCGAUCUAUGAGUUCUUCUUCUUUUUUUUUGUUUAUAUGUUUAAUUUGUUGUUUCCUUCAUCUGAUAUUGAUAAUACCAAGUAAUAGUACGAUUGCUGUGUCUAAUAAUGUAUCUAGGUAUUGUUUAUUGUUCGUUUCUCCUUUUGCUCUCGUGCUUUUAAUGCUAUUUAUUUCUGAGAAUUUGGAAUCUGUCGUGUGUGGUUUGCGAUCAUCUGUUUAUUAUCGCGAGUUGUUUGUAUGAUUUCGGAAAAUUGUAUAUUUUUUGUAUGAUUUAGGAUGUUUUGUUCGGCAUUGAUGUGUUGAUCCUAGAUUCUUUUUGUAAUAAUUCUAUCUUUCGUAUGGUUUUUUCAACAUUAAUGAUCUUUACUGUGUUAGAUUAUCCGUAAUUUUCUUGCUAUUUGGAAUGAGAUAUUUAAGUCAAGUAAGGUUUUCUCUAUGAUGCCUAUAUAUGCAAGUCUUGGUGUAGGACCUUAUGUGAUUGAAAUUUGGUCUUGUUUAAUGGUUCUUAAAUGCGUUGCUCCGCUUUUCCUAUUGAUUAGAACAUUACUGGCUAUUUUUUGUGCUUAAGAUCAAGAGACCAUAUGGUACAAGAAAAGUUGUUGUGGAUUUUUAAGCCGACUGAUCCUGUUAUUCAUCCUUCUUUCUAAUUAUUGUAAUCUGUUGAUAUCUUACGAUGGCGCGAAAGAAUUAAACUUAUGAUGGAUUUCUCUUUUUCGGAUAUUUAAUUUUUGAUUGUUACUGUGCAAUAUUUAUUUUGUUCGUAGCAGAUGCAGAUCUUCGUGAAGACUCUCACCGGCAAGACCAUCACUUUGGAGGUUGAGAGCUCCGACACAAUUGAAAAUGUGAAGUCGAAGAUCCAGGACAAGGAGGGCAUUCCUCCGGACCAGCAGAGGCUUAUCUUUGCUGGUAAACAACUCGAGGACGGCCGCACACUCUCAGAGUACAACAUCCAAAAGGAGUCAACCCUCCACCUCGUCCUUCGCCUCAGAGGCGGUAUGCAAAUCUUUGUAAAGACUCUCACCGGAAAGACCAUCACCUUGGAGGUUGAGAGCUCCGACACGAUCGAAAACGUCAAGGCCAAGAUCCAGGACAAGGAGGGCAUCCCCUCGGAUCAGCAAAGGCUCAUCUUUGCAGGCAAACAACUCGAGGACGGUCACACUCUGUCAGACUACAAUGUUCAGAAAGAAUCAACCCUUCACCUCGUCCUACGUCUGAGAGGUGGCAUGCAGAUUUUUGUCAAGACCCUUACCGGAAAGACCAUAACUCUGGAGGUUGAGACCUCUGAUACAAUUGAGAACGUCAAGGCAAAAAUUCAGGACAAGGAAGGCAUCCCCUCAGACCAGCAGAGGCUCAUCUUUGCUGGCAAGCAACUCGAGGACGGGAGAACUCUGUCCGAUUACAAUGUUCAGAAAGAAUCAACUCUCCAUCUUGUUCUCCGUUUGAGAGGGGGGAUGCAGAUUUUUGUGAAGACCCUCACUGGAAAGACCAUCACUCUCGAGGUUGAGAGCUCUGACACAAUUGAAAACCUGAAGGGUAAAAUUCAAGACAAAGAAGGAAUCCUUCCCGAUCAGCAGCGGCUCAUAUUUGCUGGGAAGCAAUUGGAGGAUGGCCGGACCUUAUCAGAGUACAACAUCCAAAAGGAGUCCACCCUUCAUUUGGUUCUUCGCCUCCGCGGUGGAAUGCAGAUUUUUGUGAAGACUGUAACUGGGAAGAGCAUCACUCUCGAGGUGGAGAGCUCGGACACCGUAGAAAAUGUCAAAUACAAGAUUCAGGAUAAGGAGGGUAUCCCCUGGUUUCAGCAGAGGCUCAUCUUUGCUGGGAAACAGCUGCAGGAUGGACGCACCUUGUCGGACUAUAAUGUUCAGAAGGAGUCUACUCUUCAUCUUGUCCUGCGCCUUCGUGGUGGUGGUUGUGCUGGUUUCUGAGUGUAGAUGAAUGGGUUUCUUAAAUUCUUUCUGUUAAGGUCAUGGUGUCUCUGAUCUUAGAUUCUCAGGCUGAUGAAACUAUAGCUGGUUAUGGUGUUCUGUGGGACCAUUAUGUGGUACUGCUUUCUUUAGAUUUGGACUUGGGUAUUCUCAUAAUAAAUUCUGUUUUCCAGUUUUUUCUGGUUUAAGAAUUUAAAAUUAGUUAAGUUUAUUUUUCUGACUAUGUCGAAUGACAUGACAAUGCUUUUGCUGUGUAGUUUUUUUAAACUUCCACCUACUUUCAGCUUUUUUGAGUAUUUGAUGGGUGCUAGCAUAGCUCUGACUUGCAUGCUCUGCUCAUUUUGAAGAAACCAUCUGAAGUUAAUGAUGAAGUUCUGAUAAUAUGAACUAUGGUUGUGGUGCUCUGUUGUUUUUCUUAUUUUACCUAAUUUUGUUUAUACUUUCGAAACUUGCAAUCUUCUGACAACUGAUAGCGCUUAAACUGCUUAUCUAGAGUAUUCUUUAACAUAUAUUGCAGGCUUUGUUUGUGUAGUUUGCAAAUUCUAAGGUUUAUAUGCAUGAAUGUGAUCUAUGGGAUCUUUCCUGCAAUUUAGUAGUCUUCAAAUUCUUUUGCUUGAUGUUUGCUCAGAAACCGCUCCCUUCCUUGUAUUGAAUCCAGAAAACAAAUUAGUAAACUGCCCCCUUCCUUGUAUUGAAUCCAGAAAACAAAUUAGUAAACUGCCCCCUUCCUUGUAUUGAAUCCAGAAAACAAAUUAGUAAAUUGCUCCAUUGUAUUAAAUUCAGGAAACAAAUUAGUAGUCAAAAUGAUGAAGAAACAAAAGAUUUUCCAGGAUAAUUCUGUCAGUAAAGGCUCCUUUUGCAAUACAUACCCCUUGUCCCUGCAGGUAUACUGAUUUAACAUAGCUUUAUGAUUAAUACUUACCUGCCAUGCGUGCCAGCAACUAUAGGAAAGACUUGGGAAUCACGAAGGUGCAAUGUCCGAAUACAUUGAAGAUCCCGCUAUUCACACACCUUUGAUAGUUUAAAUAUUCAGGUGCUGGCCAAGCUUUACUGCUGCAUCUCUUUGAUUUAGUUUCAAAAGCUAACUGAUGAGCUGAUCUUCUACUAAGAGGCUGCUAAUCUUCAUCCGUUUCGCCGUACGUUGUCGGUGCUGUGUGGGUACUAGGGCAUAUAUAACCUCAAGAAGAAGAAGAUAAAAUACAACAUCUCGAGUCUCAAUAUAUCAGCCUCAGACCAAUCAGCUGUUAUAUUCGAAACAAGUAGUAGGAAUGCUACAUCAUAUAUUUAGGCCGAACAGUUGUUCUGAAAUCUCUUCGACUUGCUCGCCUUUUGACUAUAGAGGUUCACAUUUAUAUUAAGUUAGCUCUCUCAGAACCCUAGAUACUGUAUAUUUUGUUUUCCGCUAGCAUUCACUUUGUUGAUUGCAAAGUGAUGAACAUCAGGUUCCAAAAGCACUUGUCUGUGCCUCAUGACUGAGCUGAAACUAGUCAUAAAAUUCUGUACCAGUUCGUUUUCUAUUCUAAUUUACUUGUGUUUUUUGGUACUUGGCUCGGCACGGUUGGAGAAUUCACAGGAUGAUUAUGACAAAUGUUGGAGAAUUUAUUUUCAAAACCAAACACCCUUAUAAACUGGCAGGGUAAUGGAGCGAGCACAGAUGGUUCUCAUGCCACGUUCUUGAAUACAACUCUAUGGCCGCAGGGGCACGAUAAACAAUCACAGCCAGAUUCCAUAAAUGUUCUUCCAGAAUAUAUUUGAUACAUGGUGUGAAAUGAAAGAAUUAUGCGAAGGAAAAAAAAAAAGAAAAAGAAAAAAGGGGUCACAGUGCAUGUAUCAUUUACAUUUUAAUCCUUCUCUCACCUAUUCCAAUCACUACUAAACCAGUGGAUGGAAAUCAUGCUGAUGCUGCAUGCUAAGAUGAAUAUUUGAGGGUGAACAGUAUCUGAAUGCCACGGUGUAAGGGCGAGUGAAUGCAAAGUCAAGGUGCUUGCUUUUCUGUCAAAUGUAGUAGGAAAUGAAGUGCAGUUUAAUCUGAUAACCAUGUUCUAUGUCUGAGUGGCAUUUCCUGAAAUGACUACUAAGGUUUAAAAAAAAAAAAAAAAAAAACUGUCCCUGGCUGAUCGAUCACCAAGCUGCAACAGGUGAAGCGGAUCGAGGUGAUCCAAGAGGACAGAGUCAUGCAUCUGAGAUGAAUAAACCAUGCUGGAGCUCAACUUGUGGUGAGCUUGUUCGUGUAUAAGGCGGUUGAUCCAAGCACUGCUCCUCACCGGAGUGCCAGGUCUGUAGAGAGGGUGCUGCCAUGGAUGGUAGCCGCUCACACUCGCUAGGCUGUGACAAGCCCACCUUGGUUGCCGAAGAGUCCAAGUACUGCUCUAUGCCAAAUGAUAGGUUUCUUAAGCUCCGUGCUUUCCGAAGCUGUGAGUGUUCAAUGCCCUUCUUCACGCGCAGCAGCGGCAGCUGCUGAUGCUCCGUCUCAUGCUUCCGUAGUAGCAUUUGUCUUUCUGCUAGGAAGGUCUCACAUCUCUUCUUGUCCAUUUCAAAUGUAGCCUGAGGGUUGCUGUCCCUCAUCUCCAGUUUAGCUGCAGCCAUGUUAUUUGAUAUUAAACACUGUAAUUCGAGGCUGAGAAAUUUCUUUCUCUUCUUCAGAUGAUCUUCGGUAAUAAAGGUAACCCCCCCAAAAAAAAAAAAUAGCUUAUCACUUUUGAGUUCUUUAUGUAUGACCUGACAUUCUCCUCGGCAGUAGCCAAUUGAGAUGUUGCAUACUUGCAGUUUUUUGUACUCCCUUCCUUACGAACAAAUACGUUCUUAAGUAGUAAUACGAAUGCUAUCAGUCUCAUAUACAAUGCAGAGAAGGAAUCCCUCCACAUUGGCCUGAUUCUCAAGAAUGUUAGUUACUACAUAGAAGAUCACAAAGGAUUUUCUGUAAUGGCAGUGGUGUCAUUAGAAAUGCGAUAGGUAUAUCAGAUGCACCAUGACUUAAUCCUGCUUCGAAGAAAUAUUCACCUAAUUUAUCCUAUAUCAUUAGCAAGUUUGGUGUCAGUCUCUCUGUCUCUGAUUUUGAUCCACAACAAUUACUUGUUCAAGAUUCAACAAGACACAAAAAACCAUUAACUGGAAAGGGGCAAUAACUGAAGUACGUAGUGGUUUGCAUUUAUCCUAAUUGUUCCCAAAAGUGCUAUAGAGACAUGGUUAUUAUAUUGUAGGAAGAUCUCAUAAUACAGAGAAAAGUAACGAGAAAAAAAAGAAGAAGAUGUAAACUUACCGUCAGUUCGGUCAGAUUCCCAGCUAAACAGCCAAACACUGUAGCGCUCGAAAUCAUACAUUGGCUUUCGAAGCUCAAGAAGCGGCUCUGCUACAGCCCGAACAAAGCGUUGAGGCCGCAUUCUACCCAGAGAUCAAAAGAAUUACAUACACCCCACGUAGAAUCAUCACUCUGUGCUUCGUAAACAAAUUAAAUCCAAAAAAGGCAAACGAAAAAAUAGAAGUACAUAAACAGAUUCGACUCUCCUCGAUUGAGGAAAUCUCAAUUGGGUUUUAAUAUUGUUGUGCAAUGCGAUCUGAUCUUAAGGAAACCAUCAUAAUGCGUCCCGGAGAAAAACUCAAGAAUGAAGAGAGUGAAAAAGAUCGAAUCAUGAUGGCAUGCAUAUGAGAGAGAAGAGACGCGGAGAAGAGAUAAGAGCUAAUUAGGAAGAAGAAGAGGAUGAAGAAGCAUGAAAAACAACCCAAUAUCAUCUCUCUGAGCUGCGCCUCGCUCUCUUACUCUGCCUCUCUCGCUCCUUCCUUUCAUAUCUCUCUCUCUUUCUCUCUCUCUCUCUCUCUCUCUCUCUCUCGUGUAAUAGAUGGAGGGUCAAACCGUUAUUUCUGUUACUCUCUGCAAAAACAGUUAUUUCCGUUUAGUCCCGCGCAUUACAUAACUAACCCGGACCGGCCCGGCCCGGCCCACAAUACAUGGAAGCUACGGCAAAUUUAAGCCCACCACAUGUUAUUCAUACUAGUCCUUUUUUUGCUUUUUUUUUUUUUUAUGAAAUUUCAGGAGGGAGAACGAAACAACCGGACCGUACUUAAUUAACAUUCUUGACUAAGAGCUCACCGUUUGAUGUCAGAGAUUUCAAAUUUGAAAUCUAGUUACUUUAUAUUUAUACUUAAGUUUAUUUUUUAGAAAAAAAAAAUAAACGAAGCUGACAGCUAACGCAAUUGCCUAAAAAUUUAAUAGUUCAUAAUCAUGGUUGAAGCGGAUAACUUGUUAUCAUUAUCUCAAAAAAAAAAGAAAAGAAAAGAAAAAGAAAACAAAGAGAGAGGAGAAAACAAAGGACUGCUGUACGUAACUGUUUUUGUUUAUUUAAUGAAAGAAAGUAAAUUAGAAGUGGCGAGGUAAAAUUCCACAAGAAUAAUUUUCUCUCUAAUGAACAUGAACAUGAACAUGAACAUAAACAUAAAACCACCAACUAAAAAGGCCCCAUUUCUAAGGUCCCCAAUUCAAAGGUAAUUGAUUAGUACAUAGAAGCUACUUUUUUUGAGGAGUGGUCAUCGAUAUCACGAGCACGAGAAAAGGAAUCCUCCAAGUGACUUAAUAGCUGGCAACAACUAAGCUCGAAUAGCUAACCACCACCACCACCACCACCACCACCACCCCCCUCUAAACUCCACACAAGUCCCCAAAUACAAAAGAAAUGUACGUGGGAUGUCAUUGUUCAAAUAUGCAUAUAUGUAUAGCUUUACCUCACCAUCCAAGGCACUGAGGAGGCAUCCAUGACCCCACGCACACUUACCUGCUGCUCAUAUUAAUAGCAUAGUGGUUGACACUUGAGAGUUCACAUUGUAGCCCUAUAUAUCCCACCUCGCAUGGGGCUGGGGCAAGCGCAUACAAAAGAAUAAACCUUUCUUAGGAAGCUUUUCAACAAUAUUUCUUAAGAAGGUUUUGAUUCGUAUUAAUUUUGUUUUCAUGUAGAUAAUAAUAAUUCAUUAGAAAUUUUUAAGUUUUAAAAUUUAAAAAGAAUUUUAAAUACUAGAGAAAGAAAUUGUAAUUUUGGUUAAAAAAAAAGGUGGCAUGUGGCGAUAGAUUUGGACACCUAAACGCUUCGUUGAAGAGAUUUUCACUAAAUUUUUUUCCUGUGUAUAAAAGUUAGUUGUUAUUACUGGUGGUGUGUUCCAUUAUGUUCUCUUAUUGUAAUCUAAAGAGUACAUUUGGCAUAAAUUGUUCUUCCUUUAAAUAUUUCAUGGGAGCUGCAUCCCAUGUGAAAGUGAAACUCCGUUUGCAUUCAAUGUUAUUCCGCUUCUGACUCUCCUACCGCCCAUUAAAACAGGGCUAUAUAUUAAUAUAUAUACAAAUUAAGGACAGCAAAACAACAAAGCAUAUUGAUCAAGCAAUCCAUUAAUUACAUCCACCAAAAUAUUUUGAAUGCGCAGAAGAAAUGAGAGAGUCCACAUUGACGAAGAAAAUGAACAAAUAAUUAAUAAUCCCUGUUUAUUUAAUAAUUACACAAAAGAAUCCACCAGAAAUUACAAAAACUGUGAAUCUAACCAACCAAUCAUCAUCUUUACAUGGACCGAACACAUACAUUAUUCCGCCACCCAAAAGAAUGAAUAAAUAUUGAAUCACAAACCCUACACAAUUAAACUACACAAGAGAAAAAGAAUCCCCCGCUAAUCCUACCGAUCACAUGCAUCCUCUGUCAUCUCCUCACACUCAAUAUAUGUAUACAAUAAUAAUAAUAAUAAUAAUACGAAGAACCAUAUAUAUAUAUAUAUAUAUACACACGUACGUAGUGGUUGUAAUUAAAUUAAGCCAUCAUUCACUGUAUAAUAGAAGAGCGGGUAAACCCAGGAAUGAUAUGAUAUUAUGUUUAAACGAAUAAUUACGCGUCGGCCUGGCGCUUGGCCCCGGGCCGGCGCUUGUUGGAGCG